rnacentral:lncRNA from 1 species
AUCAAAAGAGUGUACUACUUUUUUAUUAUGUGGCCCACCUUUCAUUCUCACAAAGUGCCUAGGAGCACGUGCUAGAGCUGGCUCUUCGCGAAGAGCCCGCUUACCUUCUCUCUCCUCUUCUCUUUCCUCCAACUAAGCAGAAAUAUACUAGUUUAUUCCUUAUAGCCCGCUGACUCAGCUCUAUUAUACUUGCUCUAAGAGAGAGGUCGAGGAGAGAUUGGUUUCUGUGACGGGCGUGGAGAAAGAGGAGAGAGGUAGUGGAGAGAUUGAUUUUUUUUGCUUGCAGAAAAGAGAUUGUUUUUUUACAGGGUGCAAAGAGAUUGAUAAUUUGAUAAUGCUUUGAACGAACUCUAGGGAAGAUCUCGAUCGUAAUAAGUCGGUCCCACCAAAAAUUAGUGGCUCUUAAUUUCUAAUUAAUGUGUAAAUUUUUUGGGCGUGCCAUAGAUAGAUAGAUAGAUAGAUAUAGAUAUACAUAUAUAUGUAUAUUUUUUUAGAAUCAUAGAUACAAGCGGGCCUUAUUUCAGCACUAAUAUGGAACUUCCUUCGUCCCAUAAUACUCCUACACUAAGGCUAGUCAUAAUGGGGAGUAACUUAGACUAGUGUCAUGCAUACGACACUAGUCUUUGUUACUACCUUCAUUAUGAAAAGUAAAAUAGUAGUAGUAUCAUAGAUAAAUAUAUUUAUUACAUUGUAGACUCAUUUUGCUUUGAGUGGUGUUAUGUUUACAGUAACAUAUUAUGUUAUCCAAACUUCUCUCUCCUCAUUAACUAUACGCCACGUAAGCAAACUUGUCUUGAAAUGCGCUAUGUUACUUGUUAAGUUACUUUCACUAUGACUAACCCAAAGUAUAAUCGCUCUUGUGUUAUUUUUUCUUGAUACGCAUAAGCAUGUGUAUCAUAUAUUAAAGAAGGAGCUGCAAAGAAGCCAGAUACAACGCCUUUCGGCCAUUUCCACGCCAAUCACAAAGAUUAGCAUCCACAUCCAGCCAACACACCCACCAGGCUAACUAUGAUACAUGCUAUACCUAGGCCAACCUCAUACCGAAGGCAAUGAUGCAAGCCACAUAGCAACCAGGCCACGUCACAACCGAGGCCGGAGACCUCUACCACAAGACCAAGACUCGAGGACAACGCAGACCAACGUACCCCACCCAAUGCGCCAAGAAGAAGUCGGCAAGUGAACGGCAGGGCCUGAGCAGACCUAAAGAUGGCGUCAUCCAGAGGGCGCUAGCGAUAGUGUUAUAGGACGGAAGGAGUAGUUUUUUGGGGUGAAUCCUACACUAAAGUAUGCGAAAGUUCUAAACCAACGGAGUUUUACGGGCAUAUUACGUGGUCUCUUCGUUAACCAAUCUUCAACCCCUCCCCCCUCCCUGAUUUUCAGGGGGGUGUGGGCCCCUCAUCAUGAUUUCCUCCAAUCAAAUGGUCCUAGCUAAAGCCUUCUCAUAAAAGUCCGUUGUCCUGUGUCCAUGUGCGAAAAUUCUAACCCAAUGGAUUCUUAGGGGCCUAUUAGGGGGUUUGUUCGUUAACUAAUCUCCACCCCCNNNNNNNNNNNNNNNNNNNNNNNNNNNNNNNNNNNNNNNNNNNNNNNNNNNNNNNNNNNNNNNNNNNNNNNNNNNNNNNNNNNNNNNNNNNNNNNNNNNNNNNNNNNNNNNNNNNNNNNNNNNNNNNNNNNNNNNNNNNNNNNNNNNNNNNNNNNNNNNNNNNNNNNNNNNNNNNNNNNNNNNNNNNNNNNNNNNNNNNNNNNNNNNNNNNNNNNNNNNNNNNNNNNNNNNNNNNNNNNNNNNNNCAUUCUUUCUUUCAAUCAAAAGGAUCCAGCUAAUCUUCCCCGUAAGGUCACAAUGGGCAGGAACUUAGGAGUAACAUCACACACUCCAAUACAAGUUUGCUUAUGUGGCACAUAUUAAAUGAAGAGAGAGGUACUUGUGGUAACUAGCUAAGUUACCGGAACAUCACACACUCCAAGAAACAAGGAGUCUAUAUCCUAAUAAAUACAUCGCUGCAUGACGCUACCUACAUGUUCCUACCCACUAUGAAGGUAGUAACAUAGUCUAGAAAACUGUGUAGGUUACUAGCUUAUGUUCCUGCCCAUUGUGACCAGCCUAAAAGCCCGUUGUCAUGUGUCCGUGCGUGUAGCAAAGCUCGUCUGUGUGUGUAGCAAAGCUCGACGGCGCGCAUUCAUAAGUACGGGACAGCGCACGCGCAUUCAUUCAUAGGUCCAACAAUGGGUGAGUCACUCAGUAUAAAAGCAUGGCCACGCCGCGCAUUCUAAGCACAAAGUUGUGUAGGGCUUGGCUAAGAACCGUUGCAAAGCAAGCAACCAAUGCAUGUGCCUGCAACGGUGGCUUCACUGUACAGAAUGCAAAUGGAGGCCGUCUACCUCGGCUUAGCUCUGGUAUCCUUGUGUAUCGUGCUUCUUUCCAGGCGCGCGCGCAGGUGGUCGGCAUCGAACGAGGCGCCGGGGCCGUGGCGGCUGCCGGUGAUCGGCAGCCUGCACCACCUCAUCGGGCAGCUCCCCCACCGCGCGAUGCGCGACCUAGCGCGGCGCCACGGGCCGGUGAUGCUCCUCCGGCUCGGGGAGGUGCCCACGCUGGUAGUGUCGUCCCCGGAGGCCGCCCGCGAGGUGAUGAAGACCCACGACAUGCUGUUCGCGACGCGGCCCCUCAACUCCACCAUGAGCGUGCUCACCAACGGCGGCCGGGACAUCGUGUUCGCGCCCUACGGCGACCACUGGCGGCAGCUCCGGAAGAUCGCCGUCCUGGAGCUCUUGUCGCCGGGGCGGGUCCUGUCCUUCCGCGCCAUCCGCGAGGAGGAAGUCGCCGCCAUGCUCCACGAUGUCGCCGACGCCGCGGCGGCCGCGCGCCCCGUGGAGCUGCACGCGUGCCUCUCCGUGGUGGUCUCCAACAUCACGGUCCGCGCCGUCAUGGGUGACUACAGGUUCAAGCAGCGCGAGGAGUUCAUCCGCGCGCUCCACCACUCCCAGAAGCUCGCCGCGGGGUUCAACCCGGCGGACCUGUGGCCGUCGUCCCGGCUUGCCGGCUGGCUCAGCGGGGGCUUGCGCCGCGCCAAGGAGAUCCGCGCUACCGGGAAUGGCAUCCUCGACACCAUCAUCCGAGAGCGGCUCGAGAGGACGACUGAAGGUGGCGGAGGCGAGAACAAGGACCAUCACCUGGUGGAUGUGCUGCUAAGCAUGCACAAGGAGGGCAGGCUCGACAUGGACGCCGUGAAAAACAUCAUCUUCGUAAGUAGCUAGAGACUCUUUAACUAGCUAGACCAGAAGCUCCCAUGCAUCCUCAAAUACUAUGCAACUGUAAUUGGUUGGCGCGCGCAUGCAGGACAUAUUCAGCGCCGGCAGCGAGACGACAGUCAUAGAGUGGGCGAUGGCAGAGCUGAUGAGGAACCCAGAGGCGAUGCGGAAGGCCACGGCUGAGGUGCGGCGAGCUUUGGAGGCCCGCGGCAGCGUAGAGGAGCACGCCCUUGGCGAGCUCCCGUACCUGCACCUGGUCAUCCGGGAGGCGCUGCGGCUGCACGCGCCCACGCCGCUGCUCAUCCCGCGGGAGUGCCGGGAGCCAUGCCAGGUGCUCGGCUACGACGUGCCGCGAGGAACGCAGGUGUUCGUCAACGCAUGGGCGAUAGCCCGCGACGAGCGGUACUGGCCCGACGCGCCGGAGGAGUUCCGGCCGGAGCGGUUCGAGGGCGAGGGCGCCGUGGACUUCAGGGGCAACGACUUCUCCUUCCUGCCAUUCGGCUCCGGCCGGAGGAUGUGCCCGGGGAUGGCGUUCGGCCUCGCCAUCAUCGAGCUCACGCUCGCGAGCCUGCUGUUUCACUUCGACUGGGAGGUCUUGCCGGGUGCGGCGGGCGAGCUCGACAUGGCCGAGGUGUUUGGCCUCGCGGCGCGCCGGAAGGCCGACCUCCCGCUGCGCCCUGUCCUGAGGGUGCCCGUUCCUGGACUCUAGCGCCUGCGCGUCAAUCUAUCUGUUCCACACGGUAAGAGGGCAUUAUAUUGCACCUGCAUCAAUGCAUGCGCUUAAAUAAAUUACAGUAAUAUCUGUAUAAAUGUCAUCAAAAUAAGAUUGUCUAUCGUACGUACAGUAUGCAUAACAUAAAGUCUUGGCACGUACGCAUGCAUAUCUGUUCAAGUGUUGGCUUAUCAAUCUUAUUAUUAUGUUUGCAAUUGGGCUUACUGGAGCUUAGUUUCCCACGAGCCCGCGAUUUGUGUUGGCCGUGCUAGCUUGUAAACUCUUGGUCAAUGUAUUUUCUCGAUUGUAUUUAUGAUUUAAGAGCAUUUCGAAAACAGUGCAGUACUCGUUGAGUGGCAUAGAGCAUAUUUUCGUUUACAAAAGUCAAACUGUUCCUCGGAAUGAUGGAAAUGCACAACGAGAUAACGCCUUUUCAGUUUUCACACAGAACAACUUUUCAAAUCCUUGACGGUUUAAGAGCAAUUUUUAAAAUGUUAAUCGCGAGCUGAUUUUUUUUGUCGGCACACAUGCGAACUCAUCUGAAGAGCAACCAAACUACAGGCGCCUUUUUCUUUUUGCGAUUCAAUGAGCUUUAUGGAUCAAAUAUCAGAAUUACAAUCCCGCUGAAGAGUUUCAGCAAGAAAGAGGGGGCGGGGGUGUAAUUAAGCCAUAAGCAUCUACAUCUGGACUCCUCGCUCUCUUUGCACAAAGAUGCGCUGCACUAUUAUCAUCCCUCCCAAUAAAGCUCAGAGUAAAACUUAAGAAACUAGCACUCAUCUCCUUAAUAUUUUUUCCUGUAUGCUUCCAACUUACGCUCUAUCAAAAUUAUUGUCCUUCCAAAGGUUGACAAUACACUGGGCAUCUGUAUCAACAUGGACCUGUUGAAUAACUUGCUCCACUGCCAACUGUGUAGAGUCUCUCACUGCGGGCGCCUAUGCAUUCCCUGAUCCCAAAACUGAUCAACCUCACGAGAUGGACAAGUGAACUGCAACAGGACAGUACAGUCCCCGAUGGGGGAAAAUGAACUUCGGCACAAAAACAAAGGGUGUGUUUGGUUAUCUAUGAAUUUGCUUGCAUUGCAUACAUGUCCCAGUUCAGCCUGGUUGAAGGAAAACAUGCAAAAAAUAUAUCCAAAAAAGCAAUGGAGCAGAAAUGCAAUAGUAAGCAUGCAUGAUCAUAAGAGGCACAGCAAGUUCAACCUAGCAAUAUUAUGGUGUCAUCCUACCACCACAUCCAAAAAAGGGUGUAAUCUUACCACCGCAAGUUCGCCAUCAGUGUGAGGGGUUACUAUAUACCACCUCAGCAAAAUAUACAGAUCAACAAAUAGUUUUCAAGCCCUAGCUACACAAAAUAUACAUCAUCGUCGCCAUUGCCAUUGCUAUCGCCGUCGAGGAUCAUGCACGCAAAGUGCGAUGUUUUCAGUUGGCCGUGCGACACUGCAGAUACCUACACCGCAAAGUCCACCUACAAGCGGCUGUGCCAUGGCUUGACCCGCUCUGUUGCUGUCAAUCGUAUCUGGAGAAGCUGGGCGCCACUCAAAUGCAAAAUCGCUUGGUUGGCUUCCCAGUGCCGGAUGUGGACGUCGGACCGAAGAGCUAGACAUGGACUACAAGAGGCCGCGUCGGCAUGCUACACCUGCUGCUAGGAAGAGGACACAGUUGAUCACAUACUAGCUCAUUGCGUCUAUGCGAGGUGGAACGGUUGCUUCGAGUUCUUACAAGUCAACAUACAAAUUCCAAGUCACGAUGACACUUUCAUAGAGUGGUGGGAGAGGACGCGUGAUUCCUUUUGAGGCAAGGUCAAAAGAGGGUUCGACUCCUUCGUCAUUGCGACCGCGUGGCACCUAUGGAAGCAAAGGAACAAAGAGUGUUCGAUAGGGACGACCAAGUUAGAUCGAACGCUAGCCUAGUGCAACAAAUCUUCGAGGAGAUCAAACUGUGGAAACUAGCGGGAGUAGGUGUUUAGGAAUUAGCUAGAUUUGUGAGAGAGUUGGCUUUAUAUUUUUCUUAGAGUCGGAGGUCCCGUGUAGACGUUCAUUGUCAUUCACGGUCUCUUGUAAUCUAUAUUUCUCCCUUCUAUAAAAAUACAGUACGCCUUUGAUGUACUCUCGAAAAAAAACCGCAACCUCGAUGUCCUAGAAUGUUGCACAUCAGUUUAAUGCACACAUGUAUUAGUAUCCCAUAUUUCCUACUCCCUCCGUCACGGUUUAGAAGGCACACUUCAGUUUUUAUGCAUUUUCAGAAAAGGAGAGGAUUAAGGCGUGUGGGCAAUUAAUGCUGAGUUCAUCAGGCCGUUUUGAGUGCGCGUAGGUUGCAUCCCAAGCACGCGGUCCUUUUUCUCCACCACUGCAUGCGUUAGGACUGCUCGUUUACUGGCAAGGAAUUAUAAAUGCAUGUAUGCCCGCAAAAAGUUAGCAGCGACAACGACCAAAUGUCGCCGUGUCCAAGACAUCCUUAUCAACAGGGGCGGACCCAGGACAAAAAUGACCCGGUGUCCACAUGUACAUUACAUACAUGUGGAUAUCAAGCAAUGUUAUACAUAAAAGUCACACACUCAUCAAAUACACAGGCACUUUCCAUCACUGGUUUUGAACAUUGUAAUAGGGAAUCAAUUAUUGUUGCUAAUGAGCUUGCGAGGGGAGCUGAGUUCUCUACAACUUAUGACUGGUUUCAGGAGCAUCUGAAUGAUAUUGUAUCCCUCCUCAUAGAAAAUAUAACUGUUAUUCAAUUAAAUAAAACUCUACUUUUGUUAAAAAAAACAUGGGCACUUGUUCUUUUUAUUAAUAUCUAAUCAUGUUUUUUCUUUGUGAAAGUCCACAAGUGACAUUCAGUAAUAAGCAGCUCAUAUCCGAAAAUUGCGUUGGGUGCACGUACAGUGGGUUUAUCUGUAUACAAGUAUAUUUGUAGAGCUAGCGAGGCAGGCUAACCAUCCGUCGAUGACAACUCGGAGAUUUUGAUGAUGAUCUCCUCUAGAAGCGACGGACACGUGCUUUUUAGAUCCUUGAACCCCUUAGUUUCCACCACUUCCUCUAGCACAUGCGGCUGCGAGAUGUGCUCCAUGCAGAAGUCCUUGAGCCCCUGGCAAAGGUGGCAGUCCGCCAGCUUCAACGUGCCCACCACAUUCUUGCCGUGACGUGCUCGCAAUGUUCUCGCACAUGGCCUUCAUCCUCUCCAAGCCGAACCGGUCCGCCGCAGCUAGCAUCUCCCGAGCCAUUGUCGUGGUGUUUCCCAAGUGCUCGGGCAGCUCGUCGGUGUAGAUGAAGUCGAGAAUGGACCUAAAAAUGUGGGCCUCUAUGUCAUCCAUCCUAACGCAAUGGUCCAUGGUGUCGGCCUCCGCGCCAUGGCUUUGUGCAGGACCGGCGCACGCACGGCGAUCACAAGCCGGUGUGCGCGGAGCUCGGUGUCUCCAACCAGGAAUGUGACGUCGGAGCCCUACUCGCUCACCAGUAGCUUCUCCAGGUGCGAGUUGAUGUUGGACGACGGCACGGCGAUCGUUGUCGCGGUAGCUCCGGUGGUGAUGGUAUUGGUGCAGGGGUACUCCUUGGUGACCGAGACGUCGCAGUGUAUGGUGAGGGAGCCGUCGUGUCCGACGUAGCAUGACUUGGUAGACGCCAGGUCAAAGAACUUGUGCAUUCCCACGAAUUUAUGCGUAGUGUACAAGUCAUCAAUCCAACAGAAGACCGGUGGCAAUUUGCCGCUCGGGUCACACAUCUUCAAGGUACACGCCACCCACACGUCGCCAGCAGCUUCAGGAGGACUAGUUAUCAUCUUGAGGAACAGGCCUAUGUGCUCCUCUUCGUCUUCCUCCUUGCGCCCGUCGUGGAUUCCCGACGGGUAGAGGAGGAUAAUCCAGCCAUGACCGCCGAUCUGGAAAGUGCCAGAUCGGAUGCAUUCGUCGACGCCGAACCUCCUCUGCAUGGCACUGAAGUUUGGGAUCCUGAACUCGUGCGUGCCUUUGAACGUCUCCGACGAGUUCAACAUGGACGCGCUCUUUUGUGGCUGCUGAGUAUAGCUGCUACUGGCCAUUGAGGAGGAGGAAGAAGAUGACGAUGACGACGACGACAAUGAUGAUGACGACGACAAUGACGAUGAUGAAGAGGAGGUGUUCGUGCAGGGAACCACUGCCCGCGUCCAUAUUUUCUCUAAGACGUCGGACACAAAGACGCCACACGUUUCCUUGAGCUCCUUGUACUCCUCCGUUGCCACCACGGCGGCGUAGACAUUGGGGUCGGACGUCAUGUACUCAACGCAGGCGGCCUCUAGCUGCCGGAAGCUAUCUCGGCCGUGCACCAGCAUCAGUGUCGUCAUCACAGAUCUGGCGUUCAUGUUGUCUGCAAGUAUCUUCUCGCGCAUGAGCCUCAGCCUCUCCAGGUCGUACCAAUCCGUGGCCACGAGUAAAUCACCUGCCAUGCCCAGGUGGUUGCCGUUUUUUUGCUUUGAGCUCGUCGGUGUAGAUGAAGUGCAGCAUGGCCCUGAAUGUGGAGGCGGUCAUGUCGUCGACAGUGACGCGGGAGCGCGCGGCGCUCUCCUUCAUCUCCCUGAGCAGCUCGGCGGCGAACACCGGCGACCGCAUGGCGAGCACGAGCCUGUGCGCCCGGAUCUCGGUCUGCUCCUCCACCACGAACGUCACGUCCGUCGCGAAGCGCGUGUCCGACUUGUCUGCCUUCAACGACUGCGACUCAUCCAGGAGCUUGCGGAGAUCACGGAGGAUGCUGGGCGGCGGCACGAUGGAGACGGAGCAGUCCUUAGUCGCGGCCUCGUCGGCCUCCUCUUGGAGGACGUCGACGGUGCAGUGGAUGGUGAGCCGGUCGUCCCUGACGUAGAGUGACUCCCGGAACGCGUCGGGGACGGGCAGCUCCCAGUAGCUUUUGCCGGUGCACUCAUCGGGGUCGUCGUCGUACCCACGACCGCGGGCGGCGGCGAGGAAGGUUUUGGCCACGGCGCUCCGCCACACGGCAGGCGGCCACCGGCGAGGACCGCCCUUCAUCUCCGGCAGUGCCGGGUCGUCGAUCCGGAGGCUGGCCCUGGUGACCACGUCGUGGCCGUCGUUGGAGACGAGCUGGAGGGUGAUGCAGACGAGCUGGAUCUGGUCCCCGGAACCGCGACGCCGCGCGUAGGCAUAGGGGUCGUCGAAGCAGCAGAUGAGGGCCCAGGUGCAGCCGCCGGCCUGGAAGUCGGCCGACCUGACGGUGUUGCGGACGCCGAGGUCCUUGCGCGCGCGGUAGCCGACGAUGUCGAAGCUGUGCCGACGGCCUCAUCUAUGCCGACGGCCCCUAUGCCUACGCGCGGCGUCCAAGGACAGGCCGUAGGCGUAGAGAAGCCGUCGGCAUAGGUCCAUCUAUGCCGACGGGGCCGUCGGCAUAGACGUGGCCGUCGGGACCGCUCGAGAUAUGCCUACGGGGACCGUCGGCAUAGGCGCGGCCGUCGGCAUAGCCCGGGCCCACCUACCCGGUCAGCGCUGACCGUUUGACGGCGUUGAAACUACGUCGACGGGAGGUAACGGCGGCCGUCGGCAUAUCUAUGGCAGAGGUAUGCCUACGGCAUAGCCGUCGGCAUAGACCUGGCCCAUGCCCCUCUGCCACGUCAUCGAUCCGUGUGCGCAGCUAUGCCGUCGGCAUAUAUUUAUUUUUAAUUUUGCUUUAUACUAUCUAUGGCAAAGGUAUGCCUACGGCAUAGCCGUCGGCAUAGGCCGCUCUGCCACGUCAUCGAUCCGUGUGCCAUGCCACGUCAUUGAUCCGUGGGACUGCCUCUCCGUGUGUGCACAGAUAUGCCGACGGCCUUGCCGUCGGCAUACAUUUAUUUUACUUUAUUUUUUUAUUUUUACUUUAUUUUGUAUUUUUACUUUAUUUUAAUUUUUGUUUUUCCAUAAGAUAAUUAUGCCUUAUCUACAAAAACGUACCCCGAUGGUAUAUCGAUUGCCCCCCAUUACGAACGUCGCUAUCGCCGUGUCAUGGAGGGGGGAAACUGUCGACACGGAGGGAAUUCUGGUUGGUGGGGGAUUCGGGGUGUAGCUAUGUCACCGAAACAUCGCACGGGUCCCGAUGCAUAUGUGAAAAUGUUCAGGCAUGCGUAGACGCCCGUCUUGGGGCUCCGCGGUGUGCCCCCCUGCACGCAAGGCAGUGCCGGCGUCACUUGGAGGGGGCCAAACCCCAGAGACGCGUGCCGCCUUUUCGGACAUGCCACCACACCACCCCGCAUGUAUGGGGGCCCGGUGCGACCCUCGGGUGGCAUUGCUACCCCCCAGGCCCCCCGUCCCGCCUAACCCUGUAGCGUUUGACCACGGGAUCUAGCCCUUUGACUUUGCACGGACGGGCUUUGAGCAGUGGACCUAUCCACCUGGUUGUGUUAGGUAAGCCCAUAGGAACACUUUGGAGCAACAUCCGGGCCAGACCCACAGCAAGAUCCCCUCCGUGUAGACCCGACGCGUCCGUUUUCCCCCUCCAGGUGCCGGCGGCGGCGCCGUCCGUGAGGGGGGGCACACCCCGGAGACGCGUGCCGGGCGUUUGCACCCGCCACAACACUUCCAGACUUGUGAGAGGCCGCCUACGCAAGAUUUGGCGGCAUGCUAGCCCCCGGAGGCCGCCGGCCAUAGUCGUAGACACGCGAAGAGCAAUCCGCAUAGAGGGAAUUGUUCAGAUACUACUCCAUCACGAACAAUUAUGAAAAAUUACCAUCAGUCCUACAGCACAUGUGCCCGCGUCGUGUAAAAAACUCAUGAUUUUAUCGCGCUCCGAGUAUUUAAUAAUAUUCACGCCGCAUCGUUACCGCAGAACGUCUACUACCGUGUCAUCGCCGUUCGUGAGGGGGGGCACCCCCCGGAGACGCGUGCCGCCUCUUCGGACAUGCCACCACACCACCCCGCAUGUAUGGGGCCCNNNNNNNNNNNNNNNNNNNNNNNNNNNNNNNNNNNNNNNNNNNNNNNNNNNNNNNNNNNNNNNNNNNNNNNNNNNNNNNNNNNNNNNNNNNNNNNNNNNNNNNNNNNNNNNNNNNNNNNNNNNNNNNNNNNNNNNNNNNNNNNNNNNNNNNNNNNNNNNNNNNNNNNNNNNNNNNNNNNNNNNNNNNNNNNNNNNNNNNNNNNNNNNNNNNNNNNNNNNNNNNNNNNNNNNNNNNNNNNNNNNNNNNNNNNNNNNNNNNNNNNNNNNNNNNNNNNNNNNNNNNNNNNNNNNNNNNNNNNNNNNNNNNNNNNNNNNNNNNNNNNNNNNNNNNNNNNNNGCGUUUGACCAUGGGAUCUAGCCCUUUGACUUUGCACGGACGGCUUUGAGCAGUGGACCUAUCCACCCGGUUGUGUUAGGUGAGCCCAUAGGAACACUUUGGAGCAACAUCCAGGCCAGACCCACAGCAAGAUCCCCUCCGUGUAGACCCGACGCGUCCGUUUCCCCCCUCCAGGUGCCGGCGGCAGCGCCGUCCGUGAGGGGGGGCACACCCCGGAGAUGCGUGCUGGGCGUUUGCACCCGCCACAACACUUCCAGACAUGUGAGAGGCCGCCUACACAAGAUUUGGCGGCAUGCUAGCCCACGGAGGCCGCCGGCCACAGUCGAAGACACGCGAAGAGCAAUCCGCAUAGAGGGAAUUGUUCAGAUACUACUCCAUCACGAACAAUUAUGAAAAAUUACCAUCAGUCCUACAGCACAUGUGCCCGCGUCGUGUAAAAAACUCAUGAUUUUAUCGCGCUCCGAGUAUUUAAUAAUAUUGACGCCGCAUCGUUACCGCAGAACAUCUACUACCGUGUCAUCGCCGUUCGUGAGGGGGGGCACCCCCCGGAGACGCGUGCCGCCUCUUCGGACAUGCCACCACACCACCCCGCAUGUAUGAGGGCCCGGUGCGACGCUCGGGUGGCAUUGCUACCCCCCCAGGCCCCCCGUCCCGCCAAACCCUGUAGCGUUUGACCACGGGAUCUAGCCCUUUGACUUUGCACGGACGGGCUUUGAGCAGUGGACCUAUCCACCCGGUUGUGUUAGGUGAGCCCAUAGGAACACUUUGGAGCAACAUCCAGGCCAGACCCACAGCAAGAUCCCCUCCGUGUAGACCCGACGCUUCCGUUUCCCCCCUCCAGGUGCCGGCGGCAGCGCCGUCCGUGAGGGGGGGCACACCCCGGAGACGUGUGCUGGGCGUUUGCAACCGCCACAACACUUCCAGACUUGUGAGAGGCCGCCUACACAAGAUUUGGCGGCAUGCUAGCCCCCGGAGGCCGCCGGCCACAGUCGUAGACACGCGAAGAGCAAUCCGCAUAGAGGGAAUUGUUCAGAUACUACUCCAUCACGAACAAUUAUGAAAAAUUACCAUCAGUCCUACAGCACAUGUGCCCGCGUCGUGUAAAAAACUCAUGAUUUUAUCGCGCUCCGAGUAUUUAAUAAUAUUCACGCCGCAUCGUUACCGCAGAACAUCUACUACCGUGUCAUCGCCGUUUGUGAGGGGAGGCGCCCCCCGGAGACGCGUGCCGCCUCUUCGGACAUGCCACCACCACCCCGCAUGUAUGAGGGCCCGGUGCGACGCUCGGGUGGCAUUGCUACCCCCCAGGCCCCCCGUCCCGCCAAACCCUGUAGCGUUUGACCACGGGAUCUAGCCCUUUGACUUUGCACGGACGGGCUUUGAGCAGUGGACCUAUCUACCCGGUUGUGUUAGGUGAGCCCAUAGGAACACUUUGGAGCAACAUCCAGGCCAGACCCACAGCAAGAUCCCCUCCGUGUAGACCCGACGCGUCCGUUUCCCCCCUCCAGGUGCCGGCGGCAGCGCCGUCCGUGAGGGGGGGCACACCCCGGAGACGUGUGCUGGGCGUUUGCACCCGCCACAACACUUCCAGACUUGUGAGAGGCCGCCUACACAAGAUUUGGCGGCAUGCUAGCCCCCGGAGGCCGCCGGCCACAGUCGAAGACACGCGAAGAGCAAUCCGCAUAUAGGGAAUUGUUCAGAUACUACUCCAUCACGAACAAUUAUGAAAAAUUACCAUCAGUCCUACAGCACAUGUGCCCGCGUCGUGUAAAAAACUCAUGAUUUUAUCGCGCUCUGAGUAUUUAAUAAUAUUCACGCCGCAUCGUUACCGCAGAACGUCUACUACCGUGUCAUCGCCGUUCGUGAGGGGGGGGGGCACACCCCAGAGACGCGUGCCGCCUCUUCGGACAUGCCACCACACCACCCCGCAUGUAUGGGGGCCCGGUGCGACGCUCGGGUGGCAUUGCUACCCCCCAGGGCCCUCGUCCCGCCUAACCCUGUAGCGUUUGACCACGGGAUCUAGCCCUUUGACUUUGCACGGACGGGCUUUGAGCAGUGGACCUAUCCACCCGGUUGUGGUAGGUCAGCCCAUAGGAACACUUUGGAGCAACAUUCGGGCCAGACCCACAGCAAGAUCCCCUCCGUGUAGACCCGACGCGUCCGUUUCCCCCCUCCAGGUGCCGGGUACCGGGUCCCAUACAGACGGUAAACUAAGAAUAUAAAAAUGUAAUAAUUGAAUUGAUUAAAAACUUCGGUAUUCAUCAUUGAAAAUGUACAAUUGCUGUGAACCUUUUAGUGCUCGGGCACCGGGCCGGCUGCCCGGGCACGCCCGGUGCCCGAGCACUGAAAAGUUCACAGCAAUUGUCCAUUUUCUUCAUAUAAGUCUAAUGAAUACCGGAGCUUAUGACGUAUGGAUUAGUGAACUAUUUAAACAGGUCAAAUUGCUUUUCCCUCGGCGAGGUGGGACUAUUUUUUCAAAAAAAAGUAGUUGCCAUCUAUGCCGACGGCAUAGCCGUUGACAUAGGCCUCCUCUCUAUGCCGACGGCCAGGCCCUCGGCAUAGAGCCACCCUUAUCCACUCGAUGGCCCUCUCGCUGUCAGGUGGGACCACUCCUAUGCCGACGGCCUGGCCAUCGGCAUAGGGCCACCUUAUCCUCGACACCCCGGCCCUCCUCCUCCACUCGUUUCUCUCCUCGCACCCCGAUCCAACUCCCUCUCCUCGACACCCAACCGCCGCCGCCACCCUCUCCGCGCCGUCGACGCCCCCCUAGCCGCUCGCCCCGCCACCGGCCGCCGCCAUCUCCACCCACCCGCGCCGCGCCGCCGUCAUCUCCGCCCUACCCGCCCCGCCGCCAUCUCCACCCACCCGCGCCGCCGCCCCCCCCCGGCCGGAGUCCCCGGCCUGAUCUCNNNNNNNNNNNNNNNNNNNNNNNNNNNNNNNNNNNNNNNNNNNNNNNNNNNNNNNNNNNNNNNNNNNNNNNNNNNNNNNNNNNNNNNNNNNNNNNNNNNNNNNNNNNNNNNNNNNNNNNNNNNNNNNNNNNNNNNNNNNNNNNNNNNNNNNNNNNNNNNNNNNNNNNNNNNNNNNNNNNNNNNNNNNNNNNNNNNNNNCGGCCCCCUCCGACGUCGCCACCUCCCCCGCCCCUGCUGUCCUCCAGCCGCUCCGGUGCUGCUUCCCCUCGGUGAGCUCCCCCGCCCCCCGGUCACUCGCCGGAGUUGUAGCUGAUGCCGCUGUUGUGUUAGCUAGAUAGACAAAAUUAGUGUAGUGCAAUUAUUUUGUAUGUUUAGUGCAAUUUUAGUAGAUAGAUAGAGAAAUGUUAAAAUUUGGAUAGUUGAAUGAAAUGGAUAGAUAAGUAGAUAAAUUUCUAGGUACAUCAAUGUAUGGAUAGGUAGGUACAUUUUAGUUUUGACCAAAAAAAUUAAUCAAUGCGGUAAAAAUUUAAUUUGAAGUAUCAUGAUCAUCUAAGUUUUUUACUUUAUGUUUUGAAUAAUGUAGAAUAUAUGCAUUCUGUCCUACAAUUUGAGAUGUUGUUGAAAUGCUACAUGAGAUGCGAAGUUCCAAAUAUUUUACUCGGUGGAAUUUAAAGGGUUUGUGGCGUCGCAUCUCUCGAUAUGAUAUGUAGAUAGAUGUUUUGUGAAGUAGAUAGAUAGACCGAUGUUAAAAUUCGGAUCAUGGUUAGUGGUUAGUUCAUCAUGAUGAUAUUGCAAAAAAAAAAUUGAAGACAAAAUUUUGAUUGACUCAGAUGUGAUGAUCUAAGUUGUUCUUUCGGUGGAUUUUGCAGGCUUUGUGGUGUCGCAUUUCAGCGGAGUGACCGUUGUCCGACGCGUUGGUCCCCCUGAGCAUCCCUCUGCUGUUCGACUACUUCCUCUACAGCCGAGGGUGAGCUACAAGUCCAUCUCCUCCCUUUUUUCAUAUCACUAGAUUUCAUUCUCAAGUCACCUGGCGUAACCUAGGUCUCCCGUCCGAAAGGGUUGCAUCGAUAAAUAUGCAUUCAAUUGCAUAUUUAUCACCGCAGCUCUUUUAGAUUGUCCAGCGUUUUCCAUGGACAGCCCGAGGAUGUGUAGAUUGAUUAUGUUCUCCAUGUUCUACCCUGUUCCGAGACAGGAUUUCGGCGCCCAUUGUUCUCCGGAGCACAUUCUCUCGGCUAUUUGCCGAGACGUGUAUCUGGAGAACAGCAGGGAGGUGCUGCCGAAAUUUUGUCUAGUAACAGGGUAGAAUGGAGAACGUACUCAAUCUACACAUCCUCGGGUGGGAUUAGGACCCAUCUUUACCUAUUAGAGAUGUAGGUGGAUUCAACGCGGUAGAAACUGAAAAUUUGAUGUGAUUAAUUUAAGUGAAUCCUUAAUUAUGUUGUGUGGCUUGCAAAAAAGCAGAGGAUGGCAGAUAAUCAGUGGAUGUACAGUGGUUUUAUCCGUCGGAAUCGAGUAACAUCAGAGUGGAUCGCGAAAACCGAUGUGUAUUUGAAGGAGAUAUUCCGUCGUCCAAGGAGAAUUAUCCCACCAUGCCCUUGUGCGAGAUGUGCGAGAUGUGCCAGACGUCACCGUAGAAAUCAGAUGGACAUGAGUGAGCACCUUCGCACGCACGGAUAUAUGCCAAACUUUGACAUGCCGCCGAUAAACAUAGCCGAGCAGAACCGUGGUAGAGAGGAGGUGAUGCGACAACGCAUCGAUGGAUAUGAGGACGACGGGGUCAGGGACAUGCUAGAUGAUGUCAUUGUUGCAGAAACGGGAAAUGCGACACCUUCAGAGAAUGAACCGGAGGAGCCGGAGGCAACCGCAAAGGCCUUCUUGGAGGUCUUGGCCUCGUCGAAGAAACCUCUUUAUGCGGGUGCGAAAAUAUCUCAGCUGGAUGCCAUCUCGCAACUGAUUGCAGUCAAGGCUGAGUACGUCUGUAGCCAGAAAUGCUUCGAAGCAUUAUUGGGAGUAUGGGCUAACAGCCUCCCUGAGGGUCAUGAACUGCCGAAAAGCAUGUACGAUACAAAGAAAAUCAUGAAGGCACUCUCUAUGGAUUAUGAGAAAAUAGAUGUUUGCCCGAAGAAUUGCCUUUUGUUUAGGCACGAGUAUGCGGAUGACAAGUACUGUAGGCAGUGCGGUUCGUCUCGGUACAUUGAGGUGGUCGGUGAGGAUGGUGAGAAAAAGCAGCUAACCAUCCCCAUUAAGGUUCUUCGGUAUCUUGAUUUUAUAAAAAGACUGCAGCGCCUUUUCAUCAUGAAGGAGUCUGCCAAAAUGAUGAAGUGGCACAAGGAAGGUAUAAGGUACAAUCCAAAAAAAAUCGUACAUCCAUCGGAAGGGGAAGCAUGGAAGUCGUUCGAUGAAGAAUACCCCGAGGAAGCAGCCGAGGCUGGGAAUGUCAGAAUAGCCAUAUCAGGUGAUGGGUUGAAUUCAUAUGGUAUGUCGUCCAAUCCAUACAGCUGCUGGCCCGUGUUUGUAAUUCCGCUCAAUCUUCCUCCCGGUGCCCUAAUGCAACGCAAGACCAUGUUCUUGUUGCUCAUCAUUCCGGGGCCUGAUUAUCCGGGGAAGCAAUUGGGUGUGUUUAUGCAGCCGCUGGAGGAUGCUUUGCACCAUUCUUGGUACUUUCCGACGUUGACAUACGACCGGGAUCUGCAGAGAAAUUUCUUGAUGAAAGUUUGGUUGCACUAUUGCAUGCAUGACUUUCCCGGCUAUGCUCUAUUCUGCGGAUGGUGUACAAGUGGGAAGAUGCCAUGCCCAGUGUGCAUGCAGGCUCUGCGAAUGAUUUGGCUGAGUAAGGGUGGCAAGUAUGUAGCCUUUGACCUGCAUCGACAGUUCCUCCCUCCAGACCAUCCAGACAGGGAAGACAAGAAGAACUUCACGAAAGGCCGGGUUGUUCAUGAAGUAACCGAGAUUCCAACAUUUUUGGGGGCAGAUGUUCUUGCUCAGCUAAAAGCUCUCCAACCUAAAGUCAAAGGCAAAGCCAAAGCCAAAGCCAAAGGCUUCGAGGGAUAUGGUGAGACGCACAACUGGACUCACAUUACCCCCUUCUCACAGCUUCCCUAUUUCAAGGACCUCAAACUUCCUUACAAUAUCGAUGUGAUGCACACCGAAAAGAAUGUGGCAGAGUCCCUUUUCCACACGAUCCUCAAUAUUCCUGAUAAGACGAAGGAUAACAUUAAAGCUAGAGCCGAUCAACAGAGAAUUUGUGAUAGACCACGUCUGAACAUGAAGCCUCCCACAGGCGGUCGAAAAAACUGGUUCAAGCCAGAUGCUGACUUUGUCCUUAAACCGCCAGAAAAAAAAGGAAGUACUUAUCUGGCUGAAACACAUUUUGAAGUUCACCGAUGGUUAUGCAUCGAAUAUAAGUAAGCGAGUCAAUCUUUCAACGGGCAAAGUGACCGGCCUGAAGAGUCAUGACUACCAUGUAUGGAUUGAGUGGAUAAUGCCGGUGAUGGUUCGAGGCUAUGUCCCCGAGCAUGUCUGGCGAGUGCUUGCCGAGCUAAGCCAUUUCUUCCGCACGCUCUGUGCUAAAGAAGUAAGUAAAGACGUGAUUGAAAAAUUGCAUAAGAAGGCACCGGAGUUGAUAGUCAAGCUAGAGAAGAUCUUUCCGCCAGGCUUCUUUACACCGAUGACACAUCUCAUUCUGCACCUCGCGAACGAGGUAUUGUUGGGGGGGCCUGUGCAGAAUCGCUGCCAGUACGGCCCUGAGAGACAGAACAAGCAUCUCCGACAGAAAUGUGGAAACAAAGCUAAGAUUGAAGCUUCCAUAGCUGAGGCAGUUAUCCUAGAGGAGGUGUCAGACCUCAGCACAUCAUACUAUCCAGACCACGUUCCCCAUCUGCAUAACAAGGUGCCUCGAUACAAUAUAGAAGAGCCGAAGUAUCAACCCAAGCUCCAUCUAUUCAACGCGCAAGGUGGGAGGGCUGGGGCCUCGAAACCUUAUAACAUGCCACGACAAGAGUGGGAGGACCUCAUGUUCUAUAUCUUGCACAACAUCAGGGAAGUUGAGGAAGUGUGGAUGAGGUAAUGCCACUACACCAUUCCUUUAUGUCUUCCACAUCAUCAUGUUUUAUGUUCACUUAGUCCCGGUCUAACACCGAUUUUCUUUUUUUUAGUGAUUUCGUUCAAGAGGAAUGGACGGGAAUGAAUCCUCCUACUGAGGCGGAGGCACUUACUCUUCUCCGUCAUGGAAACCCUGGACGUAAAAUUUUUGUUGCUUGGUUCAUGGAGAAAGUAAUUUUCCACACUCCCCUAUUAAAUACCUAGUUCAACAUUUAUUAGUUAACUAAUGCACGCAACAAUUUCAAUUAUACUUGUAGGGAAAAGAUCCGAACAUAUCUAUGGAUGAUGAAUUGAGAUGGGUUUCCAUGGGUUUUGACCCUGCCGUCAUGACAUGUAAAAAGUAUGAUGUGAAUGGGUAUCGCUUACAUACAGAGGAGCACCAGAACAGCCGCCCUGAUCCCAAAACUAUAAAUACCGGAGUGUACACCCCCGGUCAAAAUUCAGUAGACUACUACGGAAGGGUACAAAAUAUAUACGAGAUUAAAUUCCACCAGGGGCGCGAGACCCUAAGUCUGCCUGUGUUCAAAUGUCGAUGGUUCGAUCCGCGGGAGGGGGUAAAACAUACGCCUUCCAUUGGUUUGGUCGAAGUUAAACCAUCAACCGUCUAUGCCGGAGCCGAUCUCUUCAUUGCGGCUACCCAAGCUACACAAGUAUAUUAUCUGCCUUACCCCUGCCAGAAAGAGUACCUAAAGGGUUGGGAAGUUGUGUUCAAGGUGUCGCCACAUGGUAAGCUACCGAACCUGAAUGAAGACGAUUACUACAACAUUAACCCCAUGACAUACGAGGGAGUGUUCUAUCAAGAGCAACCUGAUGAUGAUGAUGUGGUUAGAAACGAUGACGCUAGACCAUUGGGUGAUGAUGAUGUGGAUCCAAACGACGACGAAGCACGGAAUGAUGGUGAGACCAUUGUCAAUGAAAAUGACAUACUUAUGCUAGAAAAGUUAAACGAAGACGCUGACGACGAGGAAGAGCCUCCACCUCCGUCAGACAACAAAGAUGAUAUGAUUGAUAGUGAUGAUGAGACGGACCGAGAAAGAGGUUACAACAGUGAUGAUUCAUAUGGUUUCUAGCAGAUGUACGUGUCAAGUCUUUUUUUCUAUAGUUUAGGAAUAUGCCUUUUAUGCAUUUUUAUUAAUGUGUUUAUUAUCAUGCCUUUUCCUUCAUUUCAUUAAUUUACUAAUUGCUUAUUCUCUUUUCAAUGCAGGUUCGUGGAACAUGGGCAAGGGGAAGGCCGACGGCGUGGGUUUCCUACGCAAGGUCGUUGGCCUGCCUAGUCGGAGUGGUCGAGCACGUAAUCCUCCCCCCGGCUACUUGACGAUGACUCCUCACAGGGAGGUCGAGGGAGAGGUGCCCCUAGAGGAGGAGUGGGCGGGGGGAGAGCCCCUAGAGGGCGAGGUGGUGGGGGGAGAGCCACUACAGGGGUUCGCGGCCAGAAAGAGCGCACCCUCACCGACUUAGGGGUGUUGUCUUCGAGGCCAUCCUCUAGUGAGGUACCCUCCUCUAGUGAGGUACCCUCCUCUGGUGAGGAGGAGGAGGACGACGAGGCAGGCGAGGAGGAGGAGGUUCGGGAUGGGGCCGAGGAGGAGGUGGAGGAGGAGGACGAGGAGGAGGAGGAUGAGGAGGAGGUUGGGGAGGGGGAGGCAGGCGAGGAGGAGGGUGGUGGCGGGGAUGAUGGUGCUGGCGGGGAGGGGGUUGACAACAAGGGGUGGCUGCAUGGUAACGCAAAGCUACCAAAGCAGGUUCCUGCUACUGAGGAGCAGAAGUGGCUCAUUGAGCCCACGGAGAAAGAGUAAAUGCCACUUUAUAAUAAUUUCAUUAUUUUGCUUGUCACAUGCUCAUUCCGGUUGUUAUUUAUUUUGCUUGUCACAUGCUAAUAGUUCAUUCUUUUGCAGCAACUGGAUAUAUUCUAAAGGGGUUCGUAUUCCCAACGGCCUCAUCACCGUCUUGCUGAAGUUACACUGGCCGGGGUUGUACUGUCCGGAUCCAGUCAGGCACCCGAACCAUCGGGUCUUGGCCACGAGCUGGGAGCACUGGGAAGCGGCCCUCCACGCGGACCAUGCGACCCAUGCCAAGGCCGUGAUCACCACUUUCUGGGUGAGUUCUCUUCAGAAGCACAAGUCCAUUCUAGUUUCAUGAAUGAUUUAACUCAUGGCUUCUUCCAUUCUUGUUUCGUGCAUGAUUGUAGAAAUUCUAUCGAGUUCUCCCGGAGAACAGGGCCAGAGCGGACCAGAUCGUGCUGCGCCAAUGCAAGAAGAAGGCCCGCCAGAUGCAGUACGAGGUGCGAUAUGUGGCCAUCUCGACAUACCAUCACGACUAUCUUGGUGUGAAGAUGACCAAGGAAGACGCGCGGAGGAUGGGCAUUACCUUGGAGAGGGACGAGUUCUUGAAGGUAAGUAUAAAAGAUUUUUCAUUAUGCUUUCAUUACCUUGUGGUACAUUUCACCGUUUCGUGUUGACAUGCCAUUAUGCUUUCAUUAUGUAGGUGUUACCAAAUUGGUGUUAUGGAAAAGACGAGUCCUGGGCGGCAUUGGUGGAUCUUUGGUGUGAUGAGGCUGGAGCCUGGGCGGCUAUGAGAGUCAAAAACAAGGCUAACCGAGGGAAGGAGGGAGUACAUGCUCAGGGAAACCGAAACCACUAUCUCCACAAGGCAGUUAAUGUAUGACUAACCCCAUUAAACAUUCUUCUUCUUCUGUUUACCAUUACUUUCUUAUGUAUGACUAACCUCUGUUUGGUGGUGCAGGAGGAGAAACUGAAGUGGCCGCUCUCACACAUGCAGGCGUGGGAGAUCGCCCAUACGCGGAAGGACCCCAAGCCUGGCGAGCCCAAGUACUACGGCAAGAAGACCGCGCAUAGGAAGAAGGCCUACUCCGAUGGGUAUCUGGCGUUACAUCCUGACACACCUGACCCCAUUGCGGCGGAUCUGGACGAAAGGGUGGUGGUGGGCAUGGGGCCGAAGGAGCACGGUCGGGAGGCGGUUCUCGAUGCUGUGAUCACUCCUACUAUCUCCUACACACAGCUCCGUCGGAUCGACCCGACCCUGAGCCAGCGCACGAGCACGCCCAUGAGCAGUGCACCAUCGCUGUCCCUCUUUCAGGAGCAGCAAACUGUAAGUAUUUUCCCUUUUAUCUUCAUUGCUCCCUUUAUUUUCCGCAUUUAGUAGUUUUAUGAGUUUCAUCAUGUCAUACUGUAGGCCUACAUGGAGUACACACGCCAGGAGACCAUGGCGUGGCACGACCGCCUUCAUGCAUACCAUCAGCAGAGGGAUCGCUAGAUGCAGCACGCUUUUCAGGAAAUGGCGGCCGGCAGGUGUCCUCAAUGGCCAUCAGCAGAGGGUCCUCCAGCACAACCAACGUUGCUGACCUUUGAGGAGUUUGUGGCACAGAACGCUUGCCCCUCACCGGUUAGUUCAUCCCCAAUCUAUUCACUCAAAGCAUUGUUGGGGGUCGUUGCAGAAUUUUAAAAUUUUCUACGCAUCACCAAGAUCCAUCUAUGGAGUAUACUAGCAACGAGGGGAAAGGAGUGCAUCUACAUACCCUUGUAGAUCGCGAGCGGAAGCGUUCAAGUGAACGGGGUUGAUGGAGCCGUACUUGCCGUGAUCCAAAUCACCGAUGACCGAGCGCCGAACGGACGGCACCUCCGCGUUCAACACACGUACGGAGCAGCGACGUCUCCUCCUUCUUGAUCCAGCAAGGGGGGAGGAGAGGUUGAUGGAGAUCCAGCAGCACGACGGCGUGGUGGUGGAAGUAGCGGGGAUCCCGGCAGGGCUUCGCCAAGCGCAAGCGGGAGAGAGGGGUGUCACGGGAGGGAGAGGGAGGCGCCAGGGGCUAGGGUACAGCAGCCCUCCCUCCCCCCUUUAUAUAGGCCCCCUGGGGGGCGCCGGCCCCUGGGAUCCCAUCUACAAGGGGGGCGGCGGCCAAGGGGGGGAAACUUCCCCCCCAAGCCAGGUGGGGCGCCCCCCACCCCCAGGGUUUCUAACCCUAGGCGCAGGGGGAGGCCCAUGGGGGGCGCACCAGCCCACUAGGGGCUGGUUCCCCUCCCACUUCAGCCCAUGGGGCCCUCCGGGAUAGGUGGCCCCACCCGGUGGACCCCCGGGACCCUUCCGGUGGUCCCGGUACAAUACCGAUAACCCCCGAAACUUUCCCGGUGGCCGAAACUGGACUUCCUAUAUAUAAUUCUUCACCUCCGGACCAUUCUGGAACUCCUCGUGACAUCCGGGAUCUCAUCCGGGACUCCGAACAACUUUCGUAUUUCCGCAUACUAAUAUCUCUACAACCCUAGCGUCACCGAACCUUAAGUGUGUAGACCCUACGGGUUCGGGAGACAUGCAGACAUGACCGAGAUGCCUCUCCGGUCAAUAACCAACAGCGGGAUCUGGAUACCCAUGUUGGCUCCCACAUGUUCCAUGAUGAUCUCAUCGGAUGAACCAUGAUGUCGAGGAUUCAAUCAAUCCCGUAUACAAUUCCCUUUGUCAAUCGGUACGUUACUUGCCCGAGAUUCGAUCGUCGGUAUCCCAAUACCUUGUUCAAUCUCAUUACCGGCAAGUCACUUUACUCGUACCGUAAUGCAUGAUCCCGUGGCUAACUCCUUAGUCACAUUGAGCUCAUUAUGAUGAUGCAUUACCGAGUGGGCCCAGAGAUACCUCUCCGUCAUACGGAGUGACAAAUCCCAGUCUCGAUCCGUGCCAACUCAACAGACACUUUCGGAGAUACCCGUAGUGUACCUUUAUAGUCACCCAGUUACGUUGUGACGUUUGGCACACCCAAAGCACUCCUAUGGCAUCCGGGAGUUGCACGAUCUCAUGGUCUAAGGAAAUGAUACUUGACAUUGGAAAAGCUCUAGCAAACGAACUACACGAUCUUUUGUGCUAUGCUUAGGAUUGGGUCUUGUCCAUCACAUCAUUCUCCUAAUGAUGUGAUCCCAUUAUCAAUGACAUCCAAUGUCCAUAGUCAGGAAACCAUGACUAUCUGUUGAUCAACGAGCUAGUCAACUAGAGGCUCACUAGGGACAUGUUGUGGUCUAUGUAUUCACACAUGUAUUACGAUUUCCGGAUAACACAAUUAUAGCAUGAACAAUAGACAAUUAUCAUGAACAAGGAAAUAUAAUAAUAACCAUUUAUUAUUGCCUCUAGGGCAUAUUUCCAACAGUCUCCCACUUGUACUAGAGUCAAUAAUCUCGUUAUAUUGUGAUGAAUCGAACACCCAUAGAGUUCUGGUGCUGAUCAUGUUUUGCUCUAGGGAGAGGUUUAGUCAACGGAUCUGCUACAUUCAGGUCCGUAUGUACUUUACAAAUAUCUAUGUCUCCAUUUUGAACACUUUCAUGAAUGGAGUUGAAGCGACGCUUGAUAUGCCUGGUCUUCCUGUGAAACCUAGGCUCCUUGGCAAGGGCAAUAGCUCCAGUGUUGUCACAGAAGAGAGUCAUCGGGCCCGAUGCAUUGGGAAUCACCCCUAGGUCGGUAAUGAUCUCCAUCCAGAUUGCUUCUUGUGCUGCCUCUGAGGCUGCCAUGUACUCCGCUUCACAUGUAGAUCCCGCCACGACGCUUUGCUUGCAACUGCACCAGCUUACUGCCCCUCCAUUCAAAAUAUACACGUAUCCGGUUUGUGACUUCGAGUCAUCCAGAUCUGUGUCGAAGCUAGCGUCGACGUAACCCUUUACGACGAGCUCUUCGUCACCUCCAUAAACGAGAAACAUAUCCUUAGUCCUCUUCAGGUACUUCAGGAUAUUCUUGACCGCUGUCCAGUGUUCCAUGCCGGGAUUACUUUGGUACCUUCCUACCAAACUUACGGCAAGGUUUACAUCAGGUCUGGUACACAGCAUGGCAUACAUAAUAGACCCUAUGGCCGAGGCAUAGGGGAUGACACUCAGUUUUUCUCUAUCUUCUGCCAUGGUCGGGCAUUGAGCCGUGCUCAAUUGCACACCUUGCAAUACAGGCAAGAACCCCUUCUUGGACUGAUCCAUAUUGAACUUCUUCAAUAUCUUGUCAAGGUACGUACUCUGUGAAAGACCAAUGAGGCGUCUUGAUCUAUCUCUAUAGAUCUUGAUGCCUAAUAUAUAAGCAGCUUCUCCAAGGUCCUUCAUUGAAAAACACUUAUUCAAAUAGGCCUUUAUACUUUCCAAGAAUUCUAUAUCAUUUCCCAUCAAUAGUAUGUCAUCCACAUAUAAUAAGAGAAAUGCUACAGAGCUCCCACUCACUUUCUUGUAAACACAGGCUUCUCCAUAAGUCUGUGUAAACCCAAACGCUUUGAUCAUCUCAUCAAAACGAAUGUUCCAACUCCGAGAUGCUUGCACCAGCCCAUAGAUGGAGCGCUGGAGCUUGCAUACCUUGUUAGCAUUCUUAGGAUCGACAAAACCUUCCGGCUGCAUCAUAUACAAUUCUUCCUUAAGAAAGCCGUUAAGGAAUGCCGUUUUGACGUCCAUUUGCCAUAUCUCAUAAUCAUAGAAUGCGUCAAUUGCUAACAUGAUUCGGGCGGACUUCAGCUUCGCUACGGGUGAGAAAGUCUCAUCGUACUCAACCCCUUGAACUUGUCGAUAACCCUUAGCGACAAGUCAAGCCUUAUAGAUGGUCACAUUACCAUCCGCGUCUGUCUUCUUCUUAAAGAUCCAUUUAUUUUCUAUGGCUCGCCGAUCAACGGGCAAGUCAGUCAAAGUCCAUACUUUGUUUUCAUACAUGGAUCCUAUCUCGGAUUUCAUGGCUUCUAGCCAUUUGUCGGAAUCUGGGCCCGCCAUCGCUUCUUCAUAGUUCGAAGGUUCACCGUUGUCUAACAACAUGAUUUCCAGGACAGGGUUGCCAUACCACUCUGGUGCGGAACGUGUCCUUGUGGACCUACGAAGUUCAGCAGUAACUUGAUCCGAUGCUUCAUGAUCAUCAUCAUUAACUUCCUCCCCAGUCGGUGUAGGCACCACAGGAACAUCUUCCCGCGCUGCGCUACUUUCCGGUUCGGAAGGGGUGACUAUCACCUCAUCAAGUUCCACUUUCCUCCCACUUAAUUCUUUCGAGAGAAACUCUUUCUCCAGAAAGGACCCGUUCUUGGCAACAAAGAUCUUGCCUUCGGAUCUGAGGUAGAAGGUAUACCCAAUGGUUUCCUUAGGGUAUGCUAUGAAGACGCAUUUUUUCGACUUGGGUUCGAGCUUUUCAGGAUGAAGUUUCUUGACAUAAGCAUCGCAUCCCCAAACUUUUAGAAACGACAGCUUAGGUUUCUUCCCAAACCAUAAUUCAUAUGGUGUCGUCUCAACGGAUUUCGACGAAGCCCUAUUUAAAGUGAAUGCGGCAGUCUCUAAAGCAUAGCCCCAAAAUGAGAGCGGUAGAUCGGUAAGAGACAUCAUAGAUCGCACCAUAUCCAAUAGAGUGCGAUUACGACAUUCGGACACACCGUUUCGCUGAGGUGUUUCAGGCGGCGUGAGUUGUGAAACGAUUCCACAUUUCCUUAAGUGCGUACCAAAUUCGUGACUUAAAUAUUCUCCACCACGAUCUGAUCGUAAGAACUUUAUUUUCCCGUCACGUUGAUUCUCAACCUCACUCUGAAAUUCCUUGAACUUUUCAAAGGUUUCAGACUUGUGUUUCAUUAGGUAGACAUACCCAUAUCUACUUAAGUCAUCAGUGAGAGUGAGAACAUAACGAUAUCCUCCGCGAGCCUCAACACUCAUUGGACCGCACACAUCGGUAUGUAUGAUUUCCAAUAAGUUGGUUGCUCGCUCCAUUGUUCCGGAGAACGGAGUCUUGGUCAUCUUACCCAUGAGGCAUGGUUCGCACGUGUCAAAUGAUUCGUAAUCAAGAGACUCCAAAAGUCCAUCUGCAUGGAGCUUCUUCAUGCGUUUGACACCAAUGUGACCAAGGCGGCAGUGCCACAAGUAUGUGGGACUAUCGUUAUCAACUUUACAUCUUUUGGUAUUCACACUAUGAAUAUGUGUAACAUCACGUUCGAGAUUCAUCAAGAAUAAACCAUUGACCAACGGGGCAUGACCAUAAAACAUAUCUCUCAUAUAAAUAGAACAACCAUUAUUCUCAGAUUUAAAUGAGUAGCCAUCUCGAAUUAAACGAGAUCCAGAUACAAUGUUCAUGCUCAAAGCUGGCACUAAAUAACAAUUAUUGAGAUUUAAAACUAAUCCCGUAGGUCAAUGCAGAGGUAGCGUGCCGACGGCGAUCACAUCGACCUUGGAACCAUUCCCGACGCGCAUCGUCACCUCGUCCUUCGCCAGUCUUCGCUUAUUCCGCAGCUCCUGUUUUGAGUUACAAAUAUGAGCAACCGCACCGGUAUCAAAUACCCAGGAGCUACUACGAGUACUGGUAAGGUACACAUGUAUAUCACAUAUACCUUUGGUGUUGCCGGCCUUCUUGUCCGCUAAGUAUUUGGGGCAGUUCCGCUUCCAGUGACCACUUCCCUUGCAAUAAAAGCACUCAGUCUUAGGCUUGGGUCCAUUCUUUGACUUCUUCCCAGCAACUGGCUUACCGGCGCAGCAACUCCCUUGCCGUCCUUCUUGAAGUUCUUCUUACCCUUGCCUUUCUUGAACUUAGUGGUUUUAUUCACCAUCAACACUUGAUGUUCCUUUUUGAUCUCCACCUUCGCUGAUUUCAGCAUUGAUUACACCUCAGGAAUGGUCUUUUCCAUCCCCUGCAUAUUGAAGUUCAUCACAAAGCUCUUGUAGCUUGGUGGAAGCGACUGAAGGAUUCUGUCAAUGACCGCGUCAUCCGGGAGAUUAACUCCCAGCUGAGACAAGCGGUUGUGUAACCCAGACAUUCUGAGUAUGUGCUCACUGACAGAACUAUUUUCCUCCAUUUUACAGCUGAAGAACUUGUCGGAGACUUCAUAUCUCUCGACCCGGGCAUGAGCUUGGAAAACCAUUUUCAGCUCUUCCAACAUCUCGUAUGCUCCAUGUUUCUCAAAACGCUUUUGGAGCCCCGGUUCUAAGCUGUAAAGCACGCCGCACUGAACGAGGGAGUAAUCAUCAGCACGUGAUUGCCAAGCGUUCAUAACGUCUUGGUUCUCUGGGAUGGGUGCUUCACCUAGCGGUGCUUCUAGGACGUAAUCUUUCUUGGCAGCUAUGAGGAUGAUCCUCAGGUUCCGGACCCAGUCCAUAUAGUUGCUGCCAUCAUCUUUCAGCUUGGUUUUCUCUAGGAACGCGUUGAAGUUGAGGACAACGUGGGCCAUUUGAUCUACAAGACAUAUUGUAAAGAUUUUAGACUAAGUUCAUGAUAAUUAAGUUCAUCUAAUCAAAUUAUUCAAUGAACUCCCACUCAGAUAGACAUCCCUCUAGUCAUCUAAGUGAAACAUGAUCCGAGUUAACUAGGCCGUGUCCGAUCAUCACGUGAGACGGACUAGUCAAGAUCGGUGAACAUCUCCAUGUUGAUCGUAUCUUCUAUACGACUCAUGCUCGACCUUUCGGUCUUUCGUGUUCCGAGGCCAUGUCUGUACAUGCUAGGCUCGUCAAGUCAACCUAAGUGUAUUGCGUGUGUUCCGAGGCCAUGUCUGUACAUGCUAGGCUCGUCAACACCCGUUGUAUGCGAACGUUAGAAUCUAUCACACCCGAUCAUCACGUGGUGCUUCGAAACAACGACCUUCGCAACGGUGCACAGUUAGGGGGAACACUUUCUUGAAAUUAUUAUAAGGGAUCAUCUUACUUACUACCGUCGUUCUAAGCAAAUAAGAUGCAAAACAUGAUAAAUAUCACAUGCAAUCAAAUAGUGACAUGAUAUGGCCAUUAUCAUUUUGCUCCUUUGAUCUCCAUCUUCGGGGCGCCAUGAUCAUCUUCGUCACCGGCAUGACACCAUGAUCUCCAUCAUUGUGUCUUCAUGAAGUUGUCACGCCAACGAUUACUUCUACUUCUAUGGCUAACGCGUUUAGCAAUAAAGUAAAGUAAUUUACAUGGCGUUAUUCAAUGACACGCAGGUCAUACAAAAAAUAAAGACAACUCCUAUGGCUCCUGCCGGUUGUCAUACUCAUCGACAUGCAAGUCGUGAUUCCUAUUACAAGAAUAUGAUCAAUCUCAUACAUCACAUAUAUCAUUCAUCACAUCUUCUGGCCAUAUCACAUCACAAGGCACAUGCUGCAAAAACAAGUUAGACGUCCUCUAAUUGUUGUUGCAAGCUUUUACGUGGCUUGUAUAGGUUUCUAGCAAGAACGUUUCUUACCUACGUAAAACCACAACGUGAUAUGCCAAUUUCUAUUUACCCUUCAUAAGGACCGUUUUUAUCGAAUCCGUUCCGACUAAAGUGGGAGAGACAGACACCCGCUAGCCACCUUAUGCAACUAGUGCAUGUCAGUCGGUGGAACCUGUCUCACGUAAGCGUACGUGUAAGGUCGGUCCGGGCCGCUUCAUCCCACAAUACCGCCGAAACAAAAUAAGACUAGUAGUGGCAAGAAAAAUUGACAACAUCUACGCCCACAACUGCUUUGUGUUCUACUCGUGCAUAGUAACUACGCAUAGGCCUGGCUCAUGAUGCCACUGUUGGGGAUCGUUGCAGAAUUUUAAAAUUUUCUACGCAUCACCAAGAUCCAUCUAUGGAGUAUACUAGCAACGAGGGGAAAGGAGUGCAUCUACAUACCCUUGUAGAUCGCGAGCGGAAGCGUUCAAGUGAACGGGGUUGAUGGAGUCGUACUCGCCGUGAUCCAAAUCACCGAUGACCGAGCGCCGAACGGACGGCACCUCCGCGUUCAACACACGUACGGAGCAGCGACGUCUCCUCCUUCUUGAUCCAGCAAGGGGGAAGGAGAGGUUGAUGGAGAUCCAGCAGCACGACGGCGUGGUGGUGGAAGUAGCGGGGAUCCCGGCAGGGCUUCGCCAAGCGCAAGCGGGAGAGAGAGGUGUCACGGGAGGGAGAGGGAGGCGCCAGGGGCUAGGGUACAGCAGCCCUCCCCCCCCUUUAUAUAGGCCCCCUGGGGGGCGCCGGCCCCUGGGAUCCCAUCUACAAGGGGGGCGGCGGCCAGGGGGGGGGACUUCCCCCCCAAGCCAGGUGGGGCGCCCCCCACCCCCAGGGUUUCUAACCCUAGGCGCAGGGGGAGGCCCAUGGGGGGCGCACCAGCCCACUAGGGGCUGGUUCCCCUCCCACUUCAGCCCAUGGGGCCCUCCGGGAUAGGUGGCCCCACCCGGUGGACCCCCGGGACCCUUCCGGUGGUCCCGGUACAAUACCAAUAACCCCCAAAACUUUCCCGGUGGCCGAAACUGGACUUCCUAUAUAUAAUUCUUCACCUCCGGACCAUUCCGGAACUCCUCGUGACGUCCGGGAUCUCAUCCGGGACUCCGAACAACUUUCAGAUUUCUGCAUACUAAUAUCUCUACAACCCUAGCGUCACCGAACCUUAAGUGUGUAGACCCUACGGGUUCGGGAGACAUGCAGACAUGACCGAGACGCCUCUCCGGUCAAUAACCAACAGCGGGAUCUGGAUACCCAUGUUGGCUCCCACAUGUUCCACGAUGAUCUCAUCGGAUGAACCACGAUGUCGAGGAUUCAAUCAAUCCCGUAUACAAUUCCCUUUGUCAAUCGGUAUGUUACUUGCCCGAGAUUCGAUCGUCGGUAUCCCAAUACCUUGUUCAAUCUCGUUACCGGCAAGUCACUUUACUCGUACCGUAAUGCAUGAUCCCGUGGCUAACUCCUUAGUCACAUUGAGCUCAUUAUGAUGAUGCAUUACCGAGUGGGCCCAGAGAUACCUCUCCGUCAUACGGAGUGACAAAUCCCAGUCUCGAUCCGUGCCAAUUCAACAGACACUUUCGGAGAUACCCGUAGUGUACCUUUAUAGUCACCCAGUUACGUUGUGACGUUUGGCACACCCAAAGCACUCCUAUGGCAUCCGGGAGUUGCACGAUCUCAUGGUCUAAGGAAAUGAUACUUGACAUUGGAAAAGCUCUAGCAAACAAACUACACAAUCUUUUGUGCUAUGCUUAGGAUUGGGUCUUGUCCAUCACAUCAUUCUCCUAAUAAUGUGAUCCCGUUAUCAAUGACAUCCAAUGUCCAUAGUCAGGAAACCAUGACUAUCUGUUGAUCAACGAGCUAGUCAACUAGAGGCUCACUAGGGACAUGUUGUGGUCUAUGUAUUCACACAUGUAUUACGAUUUCCGGAUAACACAAUUAUAGCAUGAACAAUAGACAAUUAUCAUGAACAAGGAAAUAUAAUAAUAACCAUUUAUUAUUGCCUUUAGGGCAUAUUUCCAACAAGCAUAUCAUGCCUUUCAACACAGUCAUAUAUCCCGUUAAUAUGUCUUUUCAACAUCCAUGGAACCGGUGGAUCAACCGUUGGCGGUGGUCUUCGCAGCACUCCCGAGUCACGGAGCCCGACCACUCCGAUCCAUGGAGGCGGAGGCGGAGGUGGAGGCGGUCUUGGCGGUAGCGCUGCCGCUAGCACUGAUGACCUGGGCUUCAGCGGUCUUGGCGGUGACGACCUCCGCGGUGCUCGACGUCCUGGCGCUUAAGCCUUUUGGUUACUUGUGUGCUUAUGCUUAUGUAUCUUUAGAUGACUUAUGUGUGGUGAUGAUGAUAAACUUGUGGUCUUUGAUGGUCCUUUAGAUGACUUGCAUGCUUCUUUAUAUGCUUAUGCUUAUCUUUAUGUUGAUUAUGAUGAUGCUUAUGCAUAUAUUGUUGUGAUGGUGACGGAUGAUACUUAGAUGUGUUCUAUAUGUCUAUUUCCAUCAUAUAUAUCUGCUGAUAUGUGCUGUAUAUCUGAAUUGAAUUGAUUUGAAAACAAACAGAAAAAAGAAAAAAAAUCAAAUACAAACUAUGCCGACGGCUAGGCCGUCGGCAUAGGGCUGGCCUGAGCGCCCAGUUGCUGACGCGUGGCAUCUAUGCCGNNNNNNNNNNNNNNNNNNNNNNNNNNNNNNNNNNNNNNNNNNNNNNNNNNNNNNNNNNNNNNNNNNNNNNNNNNNNNNNNNNNNNNNNNNNNNNNNNNNNNNNNNNNNNNNNNNNNNNNNNNNNNNNNNNNNNNNNNNNNNNNNNNNNNNNNNNNNNNNNNNNNNNNNNNNNNNNNNNNNNNNNNNNNNNNNNNNNNNNNNNNNNNNNNNNNNNNNNNNNNNNNNNNNNNNNNNNNNNNNNNNNNNNNNNNNNNNNNNNNNNNNNNNNNNNNNNNNNNNNNNNNNNNNNNNNNNNNNNNNNNNNNNNNNNNNNNNNNNNNNNNNNNNNNNNNNNNNNNNNNNNNNNNNNNNNNNNNNNNNNNNNNNNNNNNNNNNNNNNNNNNNNNNNNNNNNNNNNNNNNNNNNNNNNNNNNNNNNNNNNNNNNNNNNNNNNNNNNNNNNNNNNNNNNNNNNNNNNNNNNNNNNNNNNNNNNNNNNNNNNNNNNNNNNNNNNNNNNNNNNNNNNNNNNNNNNNNNNNNNNNNNNNNNNNNNNNNNNNNNNNNNNNNNNNNNNNNNNNNNNNNNNNNNNNNNNNNNNNNNNNNNNNNNNNNNNNNNNNNNNNNNNNNNNNNNNNNNNNNNNNNNNNNNNNNNNNNNNNNNNNNNNNNNNNNNNNNNNNNNNNNNNNNNNNNNNNNNNNNNNNNNNNNNNNNNNNNNNNNNNNNNNGCCACGUGUCAGCAACUGGGAGCUCCUCGGGCAAGUCUAUGCCGACGGCCUGGCCGUCGGCAUACAUAUAAACUAAGCCGACAGCCAGGCCGUCGGCAUAGCCUUGCCCCAGGAGAACCCAGUUGCUGCCACGUGGCAGGCCUAUGCCGACGGCCUGUCCGUCGGCUUAGUUUAAAUCUAUGCCGACGGCUAGGCCGUCGGCAUAGGCUUGCCACAUGGCGAGCAGGCGUUGGUCAGCACUUGACGGCGGCCGCCGUUAGGAGGUAACGUUGCCGACGGCCAGGGUCGUCGGCAUAGAUGUACGGACACCGUCGGGAUAGGGCCUAUGCCGACGGCCUCCCGGGCUACGCCGACGGAUAUGUUGCCGACGGUCCUAUGCCGACGGGGGCCGUCGGCAUAGGCCUGUCCCGACGGCCAAUCAGGGCUAUGCCGACGGGUGCGAUUCCGGUAGUGGGUUUAGGGUUUAGGGUUUAGGGUAGCUGCUACUGGCCAUUGAGGAGGAGGAAGAAGAUGACGAUGACGACGACAAUGACGAUGAUGAAGAGGAGGUGUUCGUGCACGGAACCACUGCCUGCGUCCAUAUUUUCUCUAAGACGUCGGACACGAAGACGCCACACGUUUCCUUGAGCUCCUUGUACUCCUCCGUUGCCACCACGGCGGCGUAGACAUUGGGGUCGGACAUCAUGUACUCAACGCAGGCGGCCUCUAGCUGCCGGCAGCUAUCUCGGCCGUGCACCAGCAUCAGUGUCGUCAUCACAGAUCUGGCGUUCAUGUUGUCUGCAAGUAUCUUCUCGCGCAUGAGCCUCAGCCUCUCCAGGUCGUACCGAUCCGUGGCCACGAGUAAAUCACCUGCCAUGCCCAGGUGGUUGCCGUUUUUUUGCUUUGUGCUCGUCGGUGUAGAUGAAGUGCAGCAUGGCCCUGAAUGUGGAGGCGGUCAUGUCGUCGACAGUGACGCGGGAGCGCGCGGCGCCCUCCUUCAUCUCCCUGAGCAGCUCGGCGGCGAACACCGGCGACCGCAUGGCGAGCACGAGCCUGUGCGCCCGGAUCUCGGUCUGCUCCUCCACCACGAACGUCACGUCCGUCGCGAAGCGCGUGUCCGACUUGUCUGCCUUCGACGACUGCGACUCAUCCAGGAGCUUGCGGAGAUCACGGAGGAUGCUGGGCGGCGGCACGAUGGAGACGGAGCAGUCCUUGGUCGCGGCCUCGUCGGCCUCCUCUUGGAGGACGUCGACGGUGCAGUGGAUGGUGAGCCGGUCGUCCCUGACGUAGAGCGACUCCCGGAACGCGUCGGGGACGGGCAGCUCCCAGUAGCUUUUGCCGGUGCACUCAUCGGGGUCGUCGUCGUACCCACGACCGCGGGCGGCGGCGAGGAAGGUUUUGGCCUCGGCGCUCCGCCACACGGCAGGCGGCCACCGGCGAGGACCGCCCUUCUUCUCCGGCAGUGCCGGGUCGUCGAUCCGGAGGCUGGCCCUGGCGACCACGUCGUGGCCGUCGUUGGAGACGAGUGGAUCUGGUCCCCGGAACCGCGAUGUCGCGCGUAGGCAUAGGGGUCGUCGAAGCAGCAGAUGAGGGCCCAGGUGCAGCCGCCGGCCUGGAAGUCGGCCGACCUGACGGUGUUGCGGACGCCGAGGUCCUUGCGCGCGCGGUAGCCGACGAUGUCGAAGCUGUGCUCGCCCCGGAGGAACGCCGACCGGUGCGCCGACGAGGUCUUGUUCAGCGGCUGCGACGGCGCCAUGACGAUGUUGUUGAUUGACUGACUCGAUCCAGGACCGACCGAUGGAACGAGUAUAAUAUGGAUCUCUCAUCGCUAUCGACCGAUAUGUUGUUAGAGAUUGAGUCGGAGUCUGAUGCUAUAGCCGUAGCCCAAUGAGACACUUCUCUUAGGAAAAGUCAUAGCACAACUGCUCUCCGCCAAAUCCCUCUCUUUUUUUAAGUGAAUUUCGGUUUUUACCCCCUACUUUAACAUGUUUGAAGCAAGUUGCCUUGUUUAAAAGUUUUUCAUUUGGCUUGCCCCAUUUAUCCUAUUUACUGAUUUUUUUUGCCAAUUUUUAUCCCAUUUAGCGAUCUGUCGUGUGGUUCCUGACCGAUAGGUACAUGUGGCAUGACACGUCCCAGAAUUUCUUCUCACGCUUUUCUCCAUGUUCAAAUGAGAGAAGUCUAUAUUACAUCAGAUGUGAAAUAGCUAUCUCACAUCUAAAUCCAUAACCAUUGGAUGUUGUCCUGUCUUUAAGAUUCGCGCACACAUCUUUUUCCAUCUAUCCUGUCGCCUGUUUCUUCGUGCGAGCUUGAUUUCGCAUUGAUGCAUGUGUGCGCCUGGUUGUUUGUUUUUCCUCGGUCCAUUGUGUCCCACGGCCAGGCUUUUUUUGUUUUUGUUGGCCUGUUAUGCCCGCACAGGGCUUUGGGCUGUUAUACACAUGUCCUUUUACCGGGCAUUAAUAGGAAGGCACAGCGAUUUCGUUCUUUCGUGAUUAAAUGUGUUGUUUUUCUUGCCUAAACAAAUGUGUUGUUUUCCAUGCUGGGGUGCAUGGUGCAUGAGUCGGUUCUGCUGUUUUUCUUUUCACUUUUACUUUUACUUUUUUGUUUAUUUGUUUCAAGUUCAUGAACUUUUUUUCAACACAUUUAGCAACGUCUCAUCUAAGUUUCUGAUCGCUCGACCUGUUCGCUUUUAAAAUUGUUUGUGCAAAUCUUGAUCUUGGAUUAUUUUGUCACGCACAUCCUAUACUUCCAUGUCUUGCCGUACGUCUGGUGUCCACUUGUCAUCCCGUUCGCGUUUGCGUCUUUUGUUGGGCCGACUUCGUGACGUGAUCUCAAGACCCGUUUUUAUUUUUGGCGUGCGUUUUAUAAGUUGAAGACACGAAUUGGUCACCGCUUCCUCAGUUCCAUCGUCAUUGUCUCUCUCCCACCCCCAUUUGCCUAGGAGUAGAGCCGAUGCGGGUAGGAAGGAGGUUCGAUCUUUGUCCACACGUUGAAGACAUGCAUCUAUUUCGCCUUUUGUGUUUCAUUUGACAAACAACUAUCCUGCAAGUCUUCCCUUGACACACAAUCUUCAUUUGAGGGCGGCGGAGGGUAACCACUUUUGUCCCAGUUACAACUCCAUCCUCAACAUGCAACCGGGUCCGUGUUUUUCCUAGUUGCAACUAGGCAUGUGUUUUGUUUUCUAUCCCAGUUGUAAGUGCACGCUCGACUCACAACUAGACUUCUUAUUUGUCACUGUAACAAUUGCAAGUUCACUCCCGACUCGCAAAUGGUAUCAUAGUUUUGUGCAGUUGUCACGGUUGCAAGCCCGUUCAUUCGCAACUAGGCCCCUAGUUUGUUGCAUCCUAGUUGCAAGUCCAUCCUUGACUCGCAAUUGGGCUUGUAGUUCCAUAGUUGUCCCAGUUGCAAGUCCACCCUCGACUGGCAACUAGGCCCAUAGUUUUGUUGUCGUCUCAGUUGCAAGUCCACCUUCGACUUGUAACUCGUAUCGUAGUUUUGUGUAGUUGUCACAGUUGCAAAUCCACCGUUGACUCACAACUAGGUCGUAGUUUGUUUCUUCUGAGUUGCAAGUCCAACCUUCACUCGCAAAUCGACCCGUGUUUUGUUUUUCAUCCCAGUUGCAGGUCCACCCUUAACUCGCAAAUAGGCUUGUACUUUGUUUUAUCCCAGCUGCAAGUUGACUCUUGACUUGCAACUGGGCUCGUAGUUUUGUAUUUGUCCGAGUUGCAAGUCCGCCAUCGACUCGCAACUGGGCUCGUAGUUGUCCCAGUUGCAAGCCCACCUUCGACUCGUAACUGGGCACAUAAUUUGUUUCAUCCCUGUUUCAAGUCGGACCCUUGACUCGCAACUAGGCUUAUAGUUUCCUAGUUUUCAAAGUUUUCAGUCCAAUCUUUGUUUGUCUAAUUGGCUCGUAGUUGUCCUAGUUGCAACACCACACUCGACUAGCAACUGGGCAUGCGUUUUCUUUUUCUUACCAGUUGCAAGCCCACCCUCGACUCGCAACUGGGAUCGUAGUUUGUCAUUGUCGCAGUUGAAAAUUCACUCUCGACUCGCGAAUGAUAUCGUAGUUUUGUGUAGUUGUUAGGGUUACAAGUAUAUCCUUGAUUCGCAACUAGGCCAGUAGUUUGUUUCAUCCCAAUUGCAAGUCCACCCUUGACUCACAAUUGUGCUUGUAGGUUCAUAGUUGUCCCAAUUGCAAGUCCACCCUCGACUCGCAACUGGGCCCAUAGUUUUAUUGUUGUCUCGGUUGCCAGUCCACCUUUGAUUCGCAACUCGUAUCGUAGUUUUGUGCAGUUGCCCCAAUUGCAAGUCCAACCUUCACUCGCAACUCGGACCAUGUUUUUUUACAUCCCAGUUGCAGGUCCACCCUUAACUCGUAAUUGGGCUUUUAGUUUGUUUUAUCCCAGCUGCAAGUCGACCCUUGACUCGCAACUGAGCUCAUAGUUUUGUAUUUGUCCCAGUUGCAAGUCCGCCCUCGACUUGCAACUGGGCUCGUAGUUGUCCCAGUUGCAAGCCCACCUUCGACUCGCAACUAGAGUAUUUGUUUUUAUUUUCAUCACGGUUGCAAGCUCACCACUUGACUCGCAACUGGGCACAUAAUUUGUUUCAUCCCUGUUGCAAGUCGGACCCUUGACUCACAACUAGACUUAUAGUUUCAUAGUUUUCACAAUUGCAAGUCCACCCUCGACUAGAUAAUUGGCUUGUGGUUGUCCUAGUUGCAACACCACACUGGACUCGCAACUGGGCAUGUGUGUUGUUUUCCAUCCCAGUUGCAAGCCCACCCUCAACUCGCAACUGUGAUCGUAGUUUGUCAUUGUCCUAGUGGAAAAUUCACUCUCGACUCGCAAUGGUAUUAUAGUUUUGUGUAGUUGUCAGGGUUGCAAGUUCGUCCUUGAUUCGCAACUAGGCCCGUAGUUUGUUUCAUCCCAGUUGCAAGUCUAACUUGUACUCGCAAGUCAGCCUGUGUUUUAAUUUUCAUCCCAGUUGCAGUCAACCCUUAACUCGCAACUCGGUUUGUAGUUUUUUUUUACCCCACUUGUAGUAAAUGGGCAAGUUUUGUAUUUGUCCCAGUUGCAAGUUAACGCUCAACUGCCAACUGAGCAUGUGUUUUGUUUUCAUCCCAGUUGCAAGCUCACCCUCGACUCGCAACUGGAGCAUGCGUUUUUUGUUUUUCAUCACAGUUGCAAGCAUACACUUCACUUGCAACUCGGCGCAUGUGCAUUUUCACCUAUGAAACAAAACUCAACCGAGCCAGUUGCGUGUUCAUCCUAGAUAUGCAAAUUUGAUUAUUUUUUGUUUUUUGUUUUUUUCUCCACAUGCGUCUUUUAAAAUGUUCUCCAUAUUUAAAAUAUAAAUUCAUCACGUCAUGUGCUUGUAAAAUGUUGAACGUGUAUUUAAAAAAAUCAUCCCGUCCAUAAAAAAAUCGAGUGUGUCAUUUUUUCCAUUUUUUUCAAUUUUGCCAAACAAACACUUGAUUGAUGCAUCCAUGCUGCUUUUCACGUGCUAAAUAAAGGAAGAAAACAUAAAGGUGAAANNNNNNNNNNNNNNNNNNNNNNNNNNNNNNNNNNNNNNNNNNNNNNNNNNNNNNNNNNNNNNNNNNNNNNNNNNNNNNNNNNNNNNNNNNNNNNNNNNNNNNNNNNNNNNNNNNNNNNNNNNNNNNNNNNNNNNNNNNNNNNNNNNNNNNNNNNNNNNNNNNNNNNNNNNNNNNNNNNNNNNNNNNNNNNNNNNNNNNNNNNNNNNNNNNNNNNNNNNNNNNNNNNNNNNNNNNNNNNNNNNNNNNNNNNNNNNNNNNNNNNNNNNNNNNNNNNNNNNNNNNNNCAGGCUCAUCACAACACCGGUUACACGUUGGGUCUACAAGUGCUAACUUCUUUACGGACGUACACGUGCUAGAAGAAAAAAAGCCAACGAAGACGCACGACAGCCCACACUCGUGGCGCCAACUGGGCGUGGCGCUACCGCUGACGAGAAGCACAUGAAAUCGAUACAAACAAACAAUGGACAGGACGUGGGCUUGUCUACCUACUGAUUUGUGAUAAUGUCAUAGCUAGAUGUGAGAUAAUCAUAUCUAGAUGCAACAUAGACAGACCCAUAUUACAAACCUGAACUAGUAUCAAAGUCUAAUAUACAAAUGCAACCUCAAACUUUAAAACCGUCUGCUUUGCAACCUUGAACUUUCAAAAUCGGACAAGAACCAACCCUGCGACGGUUUUUGACAUAAUUUUGACCAGUUUUGACCAUUGACUAUCUAGUCAGCAGCCCAACCAGCCCGCCACGCGCGAGGAAAGCUCAUGCAACUUGCAACCAUGUCCCGGCUUUGUUGCGCCGCCGGCCAGCCCCCCGCCGCCCUUGACCUCUCCCCCCUGCUCCGGUCCUCCCCCUCCCGACUCGCCUUGACUAGGCCCUACAACCGCGCCCUGAUCCCCCAACACGCGGCACAGUGGCGGACUGGCAGUGUUCCCCAACCCGUCAUCCUCCCCCCAACCCAACAUUUGGCCCUCCAUGAUGCCCCGCCUUCUUGCUCCACAUCUGUAGUCCUGCCUUCGCUAUCCUGCCGCUGCGGCUCUUCCUCUGUCAGCAGUCGAGCUCUGACUUCAAGUGGUCGACGCCAAGAAUGUGUGUAGGACUAUGGUCUUGUGCAGCUGCUUGCCUACCCGAGAAGGAUCUGCUACUAGUUGCUCUGGACGGAACUGUGUACGUCUUAAUUGUUAUUGAACUCGAGUAGAUGCAUUUUGGCAUCCCCAUGUUUUUUGGUACUCUUUUUUGUAGUCUCAUAUUGUUAUUUGUAGUAUUUGUCAUGUUUUAUGUAUUUUAUUAAAUUGUGAAGUACUGAGUUUAGAUUAUUGAUUUAUUGCAAAUGUGCCAUAUUUUAUAGUACUACAUCCGUUCAACAAUGUAGCGCAUAUAUUUUUUUAAGUCAAGCUUUUCUAAAUUUUGAUUAAGUUUAGAGAGGAAAACAUAUACUUACAUCUAGAAUACCAAAUACAUAUCCUUAGAUACAUCAUAAGAUGUACUUUCGUAUUGUAUAUAUUUGAUAGUGUAGAUAAAAUAGUUCUCUCUGUAAACUUUGAAAAAAAUUGUAACGUUUGACUUUUCAGAAAAUCUAUAUGCACUACAUUAUGAAAUGGAGGGAGUAUGUCUUUGCGUGGGGUAUUUUGGGGUAGUUAUAGCCAUUAAAAGAAUUGCCUAAUCUUUUUUUUGUUGACCCGGGGUUUGCUCUGAUCCUGGCUCUGACUAAGUAGUUGGUGUUUUUUGUAUUGUUCGUAUUCUUGCCUCGGCGGGAUGUGAUGCCCCUCGGGGUGGUUUCAGGCCGGUUUUCCCCGUAAAAUGGAACAUGAUUUUCGAUCUGCUUUCCACAUAAACCGGUCGAUUUCUUUCUGAUUGAGAUCAAUAAACAGGUGGGGAUUUCCUCCUCCCAGUGAAAAAAAAAGACAAUUUAUUGCUAAUUGCCCUGCACAGCACUGCACCACAGAGUGAGGACGCAGCUUCAGCUGCUCCCUCUGCCCCUCACAAGCAAACAAUCAAUCAGUCCUAAAAUAUUAAAGAGUGCACGUAUGGGUUGGUGCCUUGGCAGACAUGAUGAUUCAUACUUUCAAGAGAAGAUAGAAGAAGAUAAGAUGCGUUUAAAAGGGAGGCACCUUUGCACGCAGAAGGGGAACGCAUUCAUUCACAAGGAAAGGAGAGGAAAGGAAGCAGCAGGCACCUGCAAAGCUGCAUGCAUGCGGCCUCUCUCUUCACGACAGGCAGUGCUGUGUCGUUGCUCCUGCCCGCCAAAUUAGUACCAGUAGUAACAGUAUAGUAGACUCGCUGAAGCAUGUGUCAGGGCAAGUGUUUUUUCUUUGGCAACAAAAGGUAAAAGGUGGCAAGCCAAGCGGGUGAUCUUGAGUGUUCCCCUUGGUCGAUCGACUAUCAUAUAUUCAUAUCAAAUCAAAAGGCUGGCUAAUACUGCCACGCGAGGUGAGGAGCCUAGCUAGGUGAGUCUCACCAUUCUAUAGUAGGUAGACCCCGCCGCACCCCACAAUAUUUUCUGUGGGAAAACUUUCUUCUGACCCGGCCCCGGAGGCAGGGAGAAUUGUCACUCUUGCAGUGGCCGUUACCGCCCCCCAAAAGAAUGGUUCGUCUUUUGAAAUCAAAUCAAAUGAUAAGACCAAGCAAGCAAUUGAGCUCCGUGCAGCGGCAGUAGAAAAGGCGUGCAGCGCACGGGCAAAUGCUAUCCUGGAGGACCACCUACCCCCUCCCUCAACCCUCAUCAUGGCAUGCAUCUUCUCCUACCACAAAAGUACUUGCUGCCAACGCCAACCUAGCUAGUCAGCCUUAUCAUCACCUGAUUCUCCUUCUCCUAACACACAAAAAAAAGGUAUUACUCCCUUCGAGCCAUAUUACUUGUCUUAGAUUUGUCUAGACUUGACACGUUUUGUUACGGAUACAUACAAGUAAUAUGGAUCGGAUACUCCCUUGGCAGAGAAAUAUAAGACCGUUUAGAUCACUACUAAUACUAAAGAGGGAGAAGGAGUAAUAUGGAUAUGAGCACGAGGGAAUGAGGUUGACCGGAGCACAGUAGAGGACACGAGAAGAGCCUUCCAUCCCAUUCCCAUCAGCUUGGGACAGGACCGGGAAGGGACCCAUGCAUGUCUCCUCCCAAAUGCAUGCAUGACCAAACUAUCAUAUCAUUACGGGUAGGGUAGGGGGGACAAGGCAGAAAACAUUACCUGGGACUUGUCCCCCUCCCUCCUCAUGCCGCUCCUCGGCUUCUCCUAUAACUGUGGCUAUGCUCUCCGGCAAGGACCAUUCAGUCACACACUCGCACACACUCAGCUGCUGCCUGCUGCUUGCUUGCUCUUGGCCAUGCCCAUGGAGAUGGAGAGAGUUUGCAAGAGACGGCCGGGCAUGCCUCCUGCUCUCCUUCUCGCCCUUCAUGGCGUGGAUGAGCAGCAUAUGCCCGCACCAUCGGUGCCUCCGCCGCAGACCCCCAUGGAGCCCAUGGAGUACCUGUCCAGGUCCUGGAGCGUCUCCGCCGACGAGAUAUCCAAGGCCCUGCUGCUCAAAGGGGCCACCAAGCGGAGCUUCUUCGCCCCCGCCGACAGCCUUCUUCCGGCCACCAUACUGGACACAGAGACCUCCUCCUACGAGCUCCUCGCCGCUUCCGGUCAACAGCUCCAGCGCCAGCAACAUGUAAGUAACCAAUCAAUCCACGCCGUCUCUUGCUUCUUUCCUUCUUUUUCUGCUCUGCAACAUAUGCGUAUGUGUCAAUCAAGUUGGAAACAACAAAUUCAGAUGCAAAACAGUUUGUAACCAUUUCUGAUCUAAAUGCUCUUACUUACCCAAAGCAUCUCUGCUCUGUAGCUAGAUCAUGUAACAGGGAGGAGCUCCAUCAGCUGCCACCGCCACUCAAACUCGGUGACCAGAUGGUACUUCCAGCACAAGGAGACCGCCAGGCACGGCAGGAAGGAGAAGGCGCGCGCUGACCGGGCCCAGGCGCACGCCAUGGUCUCCGUGGCCCAGGUGUCCGCCGCGGUGGCAGCCGUCACUGCGGCGACCAGCCGGGACAACCAGGACUCCAAGAUAGCUGCAGCCAUGGCGUCUGCCACCAAGUUGCUGGCUUCGCACUGUGCUGAGGCAGCCCAGCUUGCAGGGGCAGGUCAUGAGCAGGUGUCCUCUGCUGUCCGGUCUGCGGUCGGUGUCGCGGGCCCGGGUGAUCUGAUGACGCUCACAGCGGCCGCGGCGACAGGUGAGAAAUCCCCAUAAAUUGUCAUCACACUGAAAUUCAUCUGCUGUUAUUGUGUGCCUCCUGAUGAUAUUGUGUGCAAAGCUUUGAGAGGAGCUGCGACGCUGAAGAAGAGGGUCCAGCGCGAGGCGAGAAGCAAUGCCACUGUCAUUCCUUAUGAGAAGGCCCCUUUGUCCUCGAGUCCUGAUAUCUGGUGCAAGGAAGGCAAGCUGCUAAAACGCACAAGAAAAGGUGAGAAAUACUAAACCAUCGGGAAAAUUUUAAUUACAUUCUGAUAGAAUAAAAUCUGAACUUCUGAAGAAUGAUCAAGAGACCUGACAUUCAAAUAUUUUGUUUCUGAAUCAGGGGAUUUACACAAGAGACGGGUGUCAAUCUACAUUAACAAGAGGUCACAGGUAGGGAAUUUUCCUCCAUUGCUUCAUUUGUAAUAUAACACAAAAGGUUUACAGUUAUAUAACUCUGGCCAGUUCUGGUGAAUAGAUGUACAUUAUGUACAACCGAAUAUCAAUUAACAGUAAGUCUGGAUAAAUACAGGUCAUACUGAAGCUGAAGAGCAAACACAUUGGAGGUGCGCUUUCAAAAAACAACAAAAGUAGGUUUAAAUUUUAUCUCAAGAAGUAACACCUGAUGGCAAUGCUUCCUGAAUCUGAAUACUGACCUUUUGCUUAAAAAUACUUACAGGUGUCGUUUACGGGGUAUACAGUGAGCUCCCAGAGUGGACUGAGCCAGGGAAAUGUUUACCAGAGACAUGCUGCUUUGGCUUGAGUACAGCACAGGGCCUGAUUGAGUUCAAGUGUGAGAGCAGCACCAGUAAACAGAGCUGGGUUCAUGGCGUGCAAAAUCUGCUCCAGCAGGUCGAUGUAGCUGAACAAGUAGGGCACAGGCUAGAAACACUAAAACUCAACUGGUGCAGUUAGGGUUAGUACAUGAACCCAAAUUUGCAGGACAGUCAAAGCAUGUUUUGGGCAGGUGGUAUGUAACAGUAACACUGCUUGAUUAUUCUCAUAAGUUCAACCCAGGUUAAGAUACACCUAAUGGCUCGACGUGAAUAUAUUAACAAAAGAAUAAUGUAUUGCUAGUUUUGGAAAAAGAAUACACAUUGUAAGAAUUCAUAAUAAAAAAAAGGUUCAAAACACAACAGUCUUCAUCACUUCAUAUGGCAGCACACGGAGCUCGCAGUAUGACUUGAUAGCUUCUGCUAGGCACUGCUUCUCAAGGUUCUCAGACUUCACAACAAAGCUAUGUAAUGUGUCCCUGUGAGAAACCCGUUCAACCUGCAUCAGAUGCAAAGGAGAAGAUAUUAAAUUUCUAAUUCCCAGCUGGAAUAAGUGGGAUAAAAAUGCAUUGGUUUAAUAAAACUUCAGCACAGCAUGUGCAUCUUCACUAAGCAGGCAAUGCCACUAUGCCACAGCAGUUGUAAUGUGAAAGUGACCAAGCAUGACAUUAUUUUGGACACAGGUGGAUGCUAACAAAUCCCACAAGGGGAACGACCUGAAGAGAUACUAGCCCAAGUGGUGAAAAGAAAGCAAUUUAACACCCAACUGAUGAUUUGAUUCAAGUCCAAACUAUCAUAAAAACUGAGACCAGGAGGAGUUUGUAAAUGACAGAUAGACAGUUGUGGCACUUAAGUUCAAUAUUAUGCGAAAAAUAUUAGUACCAUCUGCUCAAUUAUUGGCCCAGCAUCAAGUUCGGGAGUAACAAAAUGGCUAGUUGCACCAAUCAACUUCACCCCAGCAUUGAAGGCCUGAAAGAAGUUAGACAAUUGUAAAUAAAUUGAAAAAAGAAAAGAAAGUUCAGAUCAGGUUCACAAAUGUAACAAUUUCAAUACCUGUCUAGAAGGACUUCCUCCUUUGAACGAGGGGAGAAGGCCAUGGUGAAUAUUAAUAAUAUCUUUCCCGUAUGAUUUAAGAAAGCUUUCAGACAUUACCUGCGACAAAAGAAUGAUUCGUGUCACCAAUAUUUUUUGAAGAAAAGGAGUUUCUGUGACCAAUAUUUGUGUGGCAGAAAUAUGUAUUGCGUGUUAGUAGUAUAGAAUAAUAUAAAGUCUGUACACCUGAUGGCGCCAAAGACAAAGAUAUUCAUAUGCCCCAUAGAGAUACAAGAAUAGCGAUCUCCUAAAUAUGCACAUAUUGCGAACUUUAUUGCAGAAAUCAUACAUAACUCUAGGAAAUACCCAAAUAUCAGUCCAAACCUUUUAUACAAAUAUGAGACGCUAGCGCGCCCUUUUCUUUCCAUUGCAAUGUAGGGAAAAGAAAAGGAAAACAGAGACCGUGACAAAAUAAGCCUACCUGCAUAUAUCUUGCCAGCACAACAAAAUCUGUGCCUUCAAUCAAUUCUAAUAUCUCUUUUUCUCUUUUAUUCCCAGAAGUCGUUGGUAAGUAAUGAUAGGGGAUUUCGUGCCUCUGAAGAAAACGCAUCACAUGAUUAUCUACAGGUCGAUCAUGGUUGCUGUACAAGAAAACAAAGAGCAUAUAAACUCCAGGAACAGCAUAUUCUGACAAGCAAAAAGUAACAAAGCCCGAAGAAAGAAUUAUAAAAGUAUGAUUCAUACACCUUAUCACACAAUGAAUGUCAACUGGAAGCCUGCCUUCUUGCCAUCUAUGCAGCAAGUCAAACAAGCAAUGGUCCUAGAAGAAGAAGACGAAAACAUACUUGUCAAAAUCACUACACAAAGAGAGAUGUGUACAUUGACAUGUGGCAUUAAAGGCAUCAAUUCCACAGAGAAAUCAUUGCCGGAUGAAGUGCAAGGAAGAGGUACGAAACCGCGAACCUGCUUCGAAGCGAGGACUGCAAUCUUGUACUUGGGGUCAAUGUCAGGUACGCGCACAGUGGAUUUCUGCGCAUUGAAGCAGUCCGACAGAUGGAGGAAGUCGGUGCGAAGCAUGUCGCGCGGCCAUAGCCUUGGAUUGUAGGUGAACUCACUGCAAAUUGGCGGCACAUGAGCUGAAGAGAAGCGCAUUAUUCCUAGGGAUAACUUGCUCGCAAGGAAGAGACACUUCGCUGAUCUUAUUUUUGUAAUGUAUAACUAACGCAGGAAUAGAGUACGGCUCGGAACUGAACAGGAGAUUGUGAUGGGAACAAAAAAAAGUUUUGAGAGUGAUUUCACCCGGGCCGCCAUCGCCAUGAGAAGGCUAGGGUGAGAGUACUACGUACUGCAUAAUCUGUAAUGCCACUGAGGGGCUGAUGUGCAAUUCGUCGAACAGGUGUCGGGCUGACUGACAGACUGGCUGGUGUAGUAGGUGGAUAAAGAAAUGGGAGGUGGGAAAUGGAGGCGGCGCGGCAGGGAGGCGGGGUGAGGGAGUACCUGCGGGCGUAGAAGACGGGGGCGUCGUCGGGGACGAAGACGUCGACGCUGUGGAUGUUGCCGCCGCGGGAGGCGAUGCACUCGGACAGCUUGGCCACGAUGCCCACCGCGUCCUGGCCAACAGCAUGCAGGAAACUCACUCACAUCGGCUCCGAGAGGAAGAAGAGAGGGAAAAAAUGAGAAGGGGCGUACGGGGCACUGGAAGAGGUGGAUGCCGAGGAGGUUGCCGGCGGGGACGGCGGCGGAGAGCGGGCGGCGGGCGAGGGAGAGCAUGGCUGGCGGGGGCGGUUGGUGGCGGUGGUGGUGGUGGCGCCAAGCCCACCCAUCGGCGCCGCUAUUCUAAUCUGGGUUCGUUCGUUGCUGGUUGGUGGAGUAGAUCGGGUCCGGUGGGUGUGGGUGUUGGAUCGCACCACAGCACCAUGUUGCUUUGAGAUUCGUGUUGUUCUCUUAUUGCUUUUUAAAUUUGCCGUGUUUCAAAAGCUUUCCGUUCCGGUUUUUUCCUCUCGUUUCAAAGUGUAUGAGAAAAAAAAACAAUGAUAAAGUCUCAAGAAAGGAAAAACAAUGUAGAGCUUUGAAACAUGACGAAUUCGAAAAGCACUGAAUUAAAAAAAAAACACGCAUCUCAAAGCACUCAUAGACGGUACCAGAUCCUUCUCAUUUUGCACCGGGUGUUUUCUUCUUAUUUCAGAAUGUAUCUUGAUGUUCAUUUGUGCCGUCGCGUAUGAGUUAACCAGCUCCAAAGAAAGUGCACUCUAUUUUUAUUGGCACACAAUGAAACAUGGUGAUACACGUUCAAACAAGCAAAAACCAAAUAUACUAACGAAACAUUGUGAAACGAGACGAAAUUUAACAACAAUCAGGAAAAAAUAGCAUGAAUCUCAAAACAACCACGAGCGAUGGACACAUUCACGGGAUAGAAUAACCACUCUUUGUCACGGAGCUCUCUCUCUCUCUCUCUCGGUUGGCGAGAAGAAAGGAGAUUUCUUUACCAAGGGUUCUAGAUAUAAUGGAUGUUUAAAUGAGCUUCAAAGGGUUUCGAAUGUAUGGUAAAAACCAUCUUCGAUUUACCGGAUGAUUCCAUUCUUUGAAAUAAAUUGCAGUGAUCUCUUUCCCUUCAGAGAUUCCCUUGCAUCGAGCUUCCUCUUUGUUUUCGUUCUUUCAUAUCGGCGUCAUUGUUUCUCCCGCUUUCUCUGCGGUUAGUUUUUCUGUGGGCAAGGCUUGUGAUCUCUACCUUGCGCUCUGACGUGCCCCCUGUAAUCUCUUGCCCACCCGUCCCCUCGGUCCCUCCCCCCAUCUUUUUGGCAUAGCAGAAAUCAUUCAUGUGGGUGUAAGCCUUACGUAGACCCUUCCAAAAAGAAUUUGCGAGAUUGGAUGUUCUUGUGUUUCCUUUUGUAGGGUCUAUCAAACAAUCGCAUUUUCAAUUUUACGUUUUUUUAUCUAUAUGUUUAUGAUAGCAUACGCCCAAAAUUCAAGCUACCAAAUCGUUCCACUUUGACAUCUACCUGUUAAUGAACUCUUCUUCUCUAUUUUGAGUAAUGUUAUGCUGGUACGCACUUGCUCAUUUGCAAGUGAUGCCACCUGAAAUCACUCGUUGAUCCAAGCGGGGGAGUGCUUUCUUGGCUCACAAGGGCCGAGAGGAGGAGGAGGAGGAGGAGAAGAAGAAGAAGAUGAUGUAACUAAUGUUUACCACCAAUGGUGUGUUAUACUUGGUGACAUGGAAUAGAUCGCUUGUGUUGUAAAGUGCACAUCAAUAUUUCUUGUGUAAAGUUAUUCAUUAGAAAAUCUGAAGAAGAAAUUGCUCCCAUGUGUUUGUGCCUAUACUAUACUAAAAGAUGUAUAUUAUUAUUAUAAUACUAAAAGAUGUGUAAAUCUAAAGAAAUUAGUGGUUUUCCGGCUGAUAUACUAAUAUACUAAAGGAUGUAUAUUAUUACUAUUAUUAUAAAAGAUGUAUAAAUCUAAAUAUGUGCCUAUAUUAUACCAACCCGAAGUGGGGUCUUCCAGUGGAAGAUGAUGCGGCCUCCUCCAUGCUAACAUCCUCCGGCUCCACUCCUGACGGCAACUGCCAGUCAAAGCCGUAGAGGAGGCUAGCGAGGAUGAACUCGACGUUCGCCACCGCCAAAGCUAAUUGAGGGCAUAUCCAGGAAAAGAGAAAGUGCUAAUUUAUUGAUCCCGGCCUAUUACCAAUGCAAGCAUGCAGUGGCAGAGCUUCAUAGGGGGCUAUUGCCCUCUACUCUAGGAAAACUGAUAAGGGUACCCCUAAUGUCAUUAGGCUUGAAUAUACGGUUUUACCGGAACUCAGUUAGCUGAGUUUUAUUUAUGGUCUCAGUCACUUUUCUCACCGUCCGAUCGCCACGCACGAGAUUUUGUCGUCGUUGUGCGUUGUGCCGUCCGAGGGACGCGGCUGCAGUCUCGUACAGCGGGCACCCCAUGUGCAUGAGUGCUGGCUUUUGUUUUUUCGUCUACGGAGCUGGGCUACGUGUGCUUUUUUUUUACCCAACCAAAAAAAGAAAGAGGAUGAUCGAAGGAUGUGAAUCGUUUUUAGCUGUUUGCAUUCCUCUUUUGAAUCGUACAGGGGGAGCCCAUGUGAAUCGUUGCUAGCUGUUUGCAUGUAAUUGUCAUUUUCUUUUUUGAAUCAUGUUAUUGUCAUUUGUUGACCAUAGGUGCCAUGCUCAGCUCUUUUCUAACGACUUUCCUUUUCAGUUUUUUAUCUCCCGAUUAAUUGUUUCCCUCUGAAUUAAUUGCUUUUAUUUUUAUUUUGUUAUUUUAGUUUUAAAAUUUUCUUAUUCACUACUUAGUAGAAAAUUGUUCCACUCUUUUCCUUUUCCUAAUUUUCCUAAUUAAGUGUAUUCAUUUAUUUCAGAUUAAUAUUUAUUUCGUUACGAUAGAUUAAAGAUUGACUGUUCGGGCUUUUCUUUGUGGGGGAUUGACUGUUUAAUCUUUCACUUUUUGUGUUUCUCUUCCUUUGUAUUUUCUAUAUUUUCAUUUUUCAAUCUUCAUAUUUCAUCUAUUUUUUACAUUUUAUUUUUCAUUUUCAUUUAAUAUUUUUUGUGCCUUAUUUUGUUUUCCUUCUUAUUCUAAUGACACCAUUACUCAAGUCGGGUCGCAACUGCAAGUUUUUAAAUGUGGUCGCAUUUGCAAGUUUUUAAGUGGGGUCGCAAUUGCAAGUAUUCAAAGUCGGGGCAUAACUGCAAGUUUUUAAUUGUGGUCGCAACUGCAAGUUUUCAACCGGGGUCACAACUGCAAGUAUUCACAAUACGGUCGCAACUGCGAGUAUUCAAAGUCGGCUCGCAACUGCAAGUGUUUAACUGUGGUCGCAACUACAAGUUUUCAAGUUGGGUCUCAACUGCAAGUUUUCAAAUAUUCAAAGUCGGAUCGCAAUUGCAAGUAUUCAAAGUCGGGUUGCAAUUGCAAGUUUUCAAGUGAGGUUGCAACUACAAAAUUUUAAAUGUGGUCGCAACUGCAAGUAUUCAAAUUCGGGUUGCAACUGCAAGUUUUCAAUGUCAAGUUGCAACUACGAGUAUUCAAAGUCCGGUCGCAACUGCAAGUUUUCAUAGUUGGGUCGCAACUGCAAGUAUUCUAAGUCAGGUCGCAACUUUAAGUUUUCAAGUGGGGUCGCAACAGAAAGUUUUCAAAGUUUUGAACGGCAACUGCAAGUUUUUAAGUGGGUUGCAACUGGAAGUUUUCAUGGGGUCACAACUGCAAGUUGUAAAUCAAGUCGCAAUUGCAUGUUUCAGAUCCGGCCACAAUUCUUUAAAAACAUUCUUGGCUAUUUUUCUCUUAAAUAUAGUGACUACUCACGGUCUUUUAGGGUCGAUUUUUUCAUCUCAAUGCAUCUUCUUUUUUCAGCCCAAAUUCACGUGAUGACAAACCCAUCUAAAAUGUUUUUUUUUCUUUUGUACAUGUGUAGUAAAUAGCUAAUGAAAAUCUGGCCCAACCCAACGAGAAAAAGAGUAGCGACCAAUCCCUUUUUUUGCCUGGGGUCAUGUGAGCUCAGGUGCCAGGCAAAACCAUCAACAAAGAAAACCAUCAACACAGCAAAAACAGAGCAAAAUAGCGCGGCAAAUGUGUGCGCCAAAUCACUUGGGCCUCCAGGCUUUUAUAAAGGAAUAACAGAAAACGGCCGGGAAAACAACAAACGGGCUUCCGCUCAAACUCAGAAACAGAAAACGGGCUGACACAACUAGUUCAUGACAUCAGCUUACAUCAGGUGAUUAAGACCAUACUAUAACUCGGCUAGCUGAGUUCCAGGCGGUCCCAUAUAAAAAACACAUGCAAUUUCUUCUUCAGAUUUCCAAUGAAUCACUAGUCUGUUACACAAGAAAUAUUGGUGUGCAUUUUACAACACACAAGCGAUCUAUUGCAUGUCACCAAGCAUAACACACUGGUGGUAAACAUUAGUUACAUGUUCAUAUUCUUAUCUGCUUUACAUUGAUUCUACUAAUGAAAUCAGCUGCGGAAUGCAUUUUUUAGCCCAAAAACGCCAAAAGACACUGUGUAAAAAGAAAGAAAGAAAGCCGCCUCCCUCGCAAGGAAACGUACUCCGUAAUACCGCUUCCGUCGCGGUGGAGGCGUGAGCCUGGGGCCUGGGCCGAGUUGUUGUAGUCCGCCGUCGUCUCGACCCACCAGCAGUCGGAAGUUGGAACCCCGUCGUCUCCAGAUCCAAAUCCUCCAAAUCCAGAUCACCCACCCACCCACCGGCCGCGAUCCAUCCAUGGAGCUGGAGGCGCCGUCGCCGGCGAGGUACCUGCUGGGCGCGGCGAUCAUGAUGGCCGGCGUCGUGCUGCCGCUCGCCUACAUGAUCUUCCGCAGCAAGCGCUCCUCCUCCUCCUCCGCCGCGGCCUCCGUCUCCUCCAUCGCCUCCGCCGCCCCCUCAUCCUCCUUCUCCAAGCAGACGUAGGUGUGCUCUGCCUCUCUUUACCCCUCUGCUCGCCUCCGCUCCGGCGAACCCCCUCCUCCGCCCCUCUGAAAGAUUGGCGCUUUGCUGACUCGGUUCCGCUCUCCGUUUGCCUGCAGGAACAAGGGCCUCUUCUGAUGGCCCGCGCGUUUGGUGCUCUUCUAGCUGGUAGCGCUAGCUCGUUUCUGCAAGAAAAGAGAAGAAAUCCCAUCUGUAUCCGCGGUCUGUCUCGGGUGUAGUUGCAGUAGCAUUUCAGCUGUGAAUCUCUAUCUGUAGUAUGUAUGUUUGUCUCUGAGCAGUUGAGCAAAUUUUUUGGUGAUGAAAUGAAAUGAAAUGAAAGGGAAACAAACUGGUUUUUUGUUAAUACCUGUACAACUUUGAUUGAUACCAUUGUCAACAUGAUCCUGGGGAUGCAGCCCUGAACAGUCAGCUUGCUUGUUGUCACAGCUGAUCCUGAUCAUAGUAGCAUUAUUGGCGUUGCGUGGUGGAUAAACCGGAAAUGUGUUUUUAGCUUACACACGUGCAUCUGUUGUUAGACAUAAUCAAGAAGAAUUCACCGAUUGGCUAGUUUGUAACCUACCUGCCCUCGAUUGUAGUUUUUGUCAAUGGUCUUGGGGAUGCAACCCUGAACAAUCAGCUUGCUUGUUGUCACUGCUUAUCCUGAUCACAGUAGCAUUGUUGGCGUUGCGUGAUGGAUAAAUCGCAAAUGUGUUAUAGCUUACAAUAUGAAUCUAUGGUUAGACAGAAUCAAGAAGAAUUCACUGAUUGGCUACUUUCUAAUCUCGAUUGUAGUUUGCUCACUGAAUGCCGCCUUUUAACUUGGAUGGCAGUGGUACCGUGUUUUGGUAUUGCCCUCUUAUAUCUCUCAAGUAUCCGGAAGAUUGUUGUUUCUUUAGCACGGCUGUGCGCUAGGUAGGUGACUUGGCAUUUUGCUGUGUAUGAUAUACUUCCACGGUUAUGCUUAAGUUUGCAAUUUCUUAGCAUCAGCCUGUGGCUAUUUUAGUGCUGAUACGUAUUGGUUGAGUUCACCUUACAGUGUAGCUGGUGAUUAAGCUAUCUGAAUAGAACACGAGGCCCUUCAGUUCUGUGUUAUGUUUUUGACACCCCAAGGUUUUAUGUGCACGAGAGGUAAAUAUGCUUUAACCAUAUAGUAGGUUGUUGCAAUUGAUCGGCAUAGGCAAGUGACUGUUUCGGAUAAUGCGCAUCAAUUCAGCUCACUCUUUUAUUAUGAACUAGCUUUACUAAGAUUUGAGUUUGCUCUUUUAUUAUGAACUAGCUUUACUAAGAUUUGAGUUUGCAUUGUGUUGGGGCUGGUGAUAUAGCAGAGAGAUGCAUAAUUCAGUGCUCUUUUAUCCAACUUAUGCGAUUUGUAUGCGACACUCUGCCUGGCGGGGCUGUCAACUUAGAGCUGGUAAAUGUAGAUAACCUCUUGAGCCUGGUUCAGCGGAUCUGAAGACGUCAAUAGAACAUAAAUUAAAGUCUGAUGGUGUUCCUGGUAUGUAGGAAAUGGGUAGAGUGUGCUUGGCAAGAUACGGUAAUCUAGCGAAGAAGACUGGAAACAAGAUGUUCAAUCUUAAUAAAGGAAGAAUGAAAUAAAAUGUUCAUGGCCCGGUAAAAAUAGGAGAUUGGAAACAUUAUGGUUAUAUAUCUAGUUGCUGGUCCUGACUGGGGGGGAACGGUCGAGUUUUCGGUUACUCUAUAAGGGGAGCAAAGCAGAGAUCAUGCAUGAUGGAUGCUCUUGUGCUGACAUUCUUUUCAGUAAAGGGCGCGCCUAUUUGGUUUGUAUUGGGACGACGGUUGGCAUCUGUAAUCUGUUCGCUGAACUGGUGUUAUAUGCUGUACCUAAUUGGUCUGAAUGUGGAAUUUGUGAUGUAUUACAACUGGUGUGCAUGCUGGAUAGUGGCGUGGAUGAGUUUUUUCUUCUCUCUAUACAUAGAUGUACAACUUUGAUAGAUAUCAUCAUCACAAGGCAGUAGUGAGCCUGGAACUGGGAACAUCAGUGACGCAGCCACGCUGCCAGCGCUAUGGGUAUAUUGUUGAACUUUACUUUCUUUAACUUCUCAUUUAGUCCCCGAGAUUGCAAUUUUGCGCGCUUGAUGAUUCGUCGUGCAGAUUGGAAUUUCAUGCGCUUGAUGAUUCGUCGUCGGUGGCCAGCGACAAUUUAACGGAAUCCAUGUUAUUAUUGCUCAGAGAAAACAAGUUUUUACCUACAGGCGAUGCAAGCCCUCAAAGAGGGCUCGCUCACUAACAAUGCAUAAGAGGGAGGAGAAACAGUUAACAGCAACCAAAGACACAAAAAGAAGAGCUAUUUGGAGUGAAGGAGGAUUAAAAAGCAAUGAAUACCAGCCAAACAUUACACAAACACGGUAGGCAGUACAUCAUAUAACGAAAUCCCGAUUUAAAUACAUCAUCAUUGUGCCCUAAAAAAUGUGUCUGUCCAAAAAUCCUACACCGUUUGUUGAUUGACCGACCGCAGCCGCAUCAGGCCACGACCGAUCGAUGACAGAAAAAAAGGGGGAAGAAACGACGCA